UUUAUAAGCCUAAUGACCUCCUAUCUACCAUAGACGUACUCACCCAACCACUGAGGAGGAAUCACUCUCAACUACCACAUUUAAAAAUUUAAAUUGCUGGAAAAAUAACAAAGCAUUUAACACUGCUUGAACCUUCGUCAAAAGCCCACAACAUUCCAGUUCCUUUUGCAAAGGAACCUAACAAAUCCCCUCCUUGAUCCCUCAAAAUCCCGCCAAUACCACUCACCACUGGGUUCCCUUUCGACGUCUCAUCUACAUUAAACUUCAAAACAGUUUCUGACGGUGACUCCCAAUAUACUGUUCGUGGCAUCUUUUGUUUUCGUGGCCAUUUAAUACGCUCAAAGCCUCUAGCAAACUGUUCCAAAUCAUAUGAACAAUCAUUCCACUUCCCCUUGACUCACCAAAACACACAAACCAAGCAAUAGUCUCAUAUAUGUUCAAGAGAAACAACAUUGUUAUUAAACACGCAUCCAUUUCUCUCUAGUAAUUGAUAUUAAAUAAUUAGCACUGAAGUAGUCUUAAUUUUUUAUUCAUUUAAAAAUAUAGAAAUCAUUAUGUGAAUUUGAAAUAUAUUAAAUCAAAUAAUAAAUUUUUAAUAUCAUAAAUAAUUUAUAAUGACAUAUUUUUUUACACUUUAUAUCCACAAUAAAGUAAUUUUAACUUUUAAAAUUACAAUAUGAAAUGAUUUUAUCAGUGUAAAGAAUUAUUUAUUAAAUUUAAAUUUAUUCAACUCUGGUUAUAGUUAUUUUACUCUGUUAUUCUUUCUCAAGUCAUUUCUACUAAUAUAUAACAGAUCAAAAAUUAUAUUUGAAGAAUUUUUUCAACGAAUACACACAUAUUAUAUUGGGUGGAGAGUACUCAUAGAGUGACUCUUUAUUUCACGACUACUUAUCGUUAACUACUUCUAAUAAAGGCGAUAUAUAUACCGUAUAUCAAGGCUGACGGCUCACUACUUGAUGCAUCACCCAUAUUCACUUAGUUCUAUGUUAAUGUGCUUUCCUUCACUCUAUAGGUGCCCAUAUAAGAUUCUAACAUUUUAUAAUUAAUAUGGAAUAGCACCAUUAUUUAUACGUAGACUGGAAUGGUAUAAAUUACAUAGUGUGAUCCAACUCUAUACGCGACUUGGGUGUUGUUAUGUAUCACGCUGUCUCAGUUAUCACUCCUACACUACGUCGAUGCUAUAAUGACACCGCUUAUGAGCGAAGUGCUAUGAGUUUGAUAGACGAGGACUUUCUAGCUUACAUGAAUAAUAAUGAGCUGUGUAACACGAGCAAUUAGUAUAUACUAUACUGNNNNNNNNNNNNNNNNNNNNNNNNNNNNNNNNNNNNNNNNNNNNNNNNNNNNNNNNNNNNNNNNNNNNNNNNNNNNNNNNNNNNNNNNNNNNNNNNNNNNGCUCCCAAUACACUCUUUGUGGCAUCUUUUGUUUCGUGACCAUUUAAUACGCUCAAAGCCUCUAGCUAGCAAACUGUUCCAAAUCAUAUGAACAAUCAUUCCACUUCCCCUUGACCCACCAAAACACACAAACCAAGCAAUAGUCUCAUAUAUGUUCAAGAGAAACAAUAUUGUUAUUAAACACGCAUGCAUUUCUCUCUAGUAAUUGAUAUUAAAUAAUUAGCACUGAAGUAGUCUUAAUAUUUUAUUCAUUUAAAAAUAUAGAAAUCAUUAUGUGAAUUUGAAAUAUAUUAAAUCAAGUAAUAAGUUUUUAAUAUCAUAAAUAAGUUAUAAUGACAUAUUUUUUUACACUUUAUAUCCACAAUAAAGUAAUUUUAACUUUUAAAAUUACAAUAAGAAAUGAUUUUAUCAGUGUAAAGAAUUAUUUAUUAAAUUUAAAUUUAUUCAACUCUGGUUAUAGUUAUUUUACUCUGUUAUUAUUUCUCAAGUCAUUUCUACUAAUAUAUAAUAAAUAAAAAAUUAUAUUUGAAGAAUUUUUUCAACGAAUACACACAUAUUAUAGUUAAUGGUAAAUACUCAUAGAGCGACUUUUUAUUUAAAGACUACUUUUUCUUAAUUAUUUUUAAUAAAUAUUAUUUUAUUAUAAUUAAUUCUAACUCUCAGUAUUUUUUGUAUAAAAAAUAUUACUUAGUUCUAUUUUAAUUUUCUUUCCUUCAAUCUAUAAUUGAUAAUUAAUAUUCUAACAUUUUUUAAUUAAUAUUGAAUAAACCAUUUUUUAUAAGUAACUGCAAUUUAUAAUUAAUAGUUAAUACAAUUAAUACAAACAUGGGUUUUUUAUUAUCCAAUGUAUAUUAUAUUUUUACUAUUUAAUAUAUAAUAAUUUCAUAUGAUUUAAUGUAGUAUUUUUAUAGUUGAUGAUUUUUUUCUAAAAUAAAGAAAUAAUAAAUGAGUAAUGUAAAAAACAAAUUCAAAAUUUAGUUUAUAAUUUUAUUAUUUAGUAUAGGUAGCUAAAUAGUCUCUAGUUAAUUUCUUUCAGUUUUCAAUAUUUAUAUUUAAUGUAUUUAAUAAAAAUAUUAUUACAUAACUUAAUCAAAGGUUACAUCAUAUUGGCAUGUGUAAAGACAAAAAUCAUAAAAAUUGAAAUGUUUCAAAAGUUACAUUAUAUUGAAAGUUGAAUAGAAAUUUAAUUUGUUUAACUUCAUUGUUUAAUGCAUUUAAUAUUUAUAGCUCAAGUGAGCUCUACAUAUAUAUAUAGAUUUGCCAAUUUUUAGCAGCUAGAAUUAAGAGACUAAAAAAAGAUGAGUAUUCUCCAAAAUAAAACCACAACGAAUAUCACACAACCCGUAAAAUUUCACACAACUUAUAUAUAUUUACUCCUAAGUUUAUUUUAAAAAAAUAUAAAAAAUAUACUUUAAUUAUACAAAAGCUUUUUUUUAUUAAGUUUAACAUGAUAAUAUUUUCUUUCUCUUAAAAAGAAAGAAACGCAAUUUAAUUUUCAAAUUUGAGAUUUAGAGGAUGUAAAGAGGGUUCUAGGAAAAAGAAGAUCAGGUGUUGGAGAACUGAAAAGAUUGUUGUGCAUUAGAAGUAGUGAGAGAGAGAAUUGUUGGAAAAGGAGAGUCGUGGAAAAGAAUUCUGCACAUGUGACAUAUAAUUUGCCUUAAAGAUUAAAAUACAUAUAUUUCAAUUUAUUAGAUUCUGGACUUGCAAAGUGAAUCCAAAAUACAUAGAUAUAUAUAAUUGCUCCUAAAUUUCUCUUAGAAUUAUUAACAGUGCACUUAAAUUAUUUAAAAAUAAAUUUUCCAUGCAGCAAAAAAAUUAUUCGAAAAUGAACCUUUAACAUGAAAGUGAUUUCAAGUACAAUGUUCUUACCCGUGCACAGUAGAUUUUACUCUUAUUAUUAGGCAUGUACCAAUACAAUGAUUCAAAACAAAAUUGAUAUACUAAAAUCAAUAUUUACAAAUGUUUUAGCUGCUAUAAUAAGAGACUAAAAAAAAUGAGCAUUCAACAAACCAAAACCACAACGAAUAUCACACAACCCGCAAAAUUUCACACAACUUUUACAUAUAUUUACUCCUAAAAUUAUUUUAAAAAUUAUGAAAAUUAUAUAUAUUAAUUUUUAUGUCAAAGUAUUUUCUUUCAAAAUGUGGGACAUAAUUUUACAUUCACAUUAGUUAAAAUUGUAUAUACUUAUUCAUAAAAUUAUUUAAUUUAUUUUUAUAUUUUAUUUAACAUUAGUUAUAAUCUUAUAUUUUUAUUACUCCGGCGAGGGACGGAAACCAGCACUCGCUAAAAGUCCAGGGACGGAAAACAUAUUUAACCCAUAAAAAUAUUAUUACUGAAAUUUAUUAGAAAAUUAAUUCUAAUUUUAGGAAAUUUGCUAUUAUUAAAAAAUAAUAGCUUUGAAGUGUGAAUUUAUUCUAAGAAUAAAAUAUUUAAUGUAGUUGAUUGUAAAAUGUUUAUUCCCGUGCUUUUUCCCGUGCGCUGCACGACGAAGUUUGAUAUUGUAUUAGACACAUCAACUAACAGAGUCCUUAUAAAGGGAAAAAUGAAUUUGAUAAAAAGUCAUGAGAUUGAGAUAAAUUAUAAAGCGACAUAAUGAAGCUCAGAGGAUAAUUUACAUAUAUUUGUUUAAAGUAGUCAUUGUACAAUGGAUUUAGCUCUUAUUAUUUAGGCAUGUAUCAAUACAAUGAUCCAUAACAAAAUUGAUAUACUAAAACCAAUAUUUGUUAAUUUUUUAACUGAUAAAAUAAAAAUACUAAAUAAAGAUGAGCAUUCAACAAAAUAAAACCAAAAUAAAUUUCAUAUAACCUGCAAAGUUUCGCACAACUUCUAUAGAAAAUCAUUUAAAAAUUAUGAAAAAUAUACUUAAAUCAAGUAAAAAUUUAUUCUUUUAUAUGAUUUAAAAUAUUUUAUUUUUGUCAACAAAAAAAUUAAUUUCUUCUUAAAAAGUUUUCAUUAUCUGCUAAAACCAAAUAUUUUCAAGUUUGCAUUAUCUGCUCAAACUAUAGGCAGAGGAAACGAUAGACAGGUUUGGUUAUUUUAAAACAUUAAAUUAAAUUAAAUUUUUUAAUCAACUCAUUUUAUAAAAUAAUUUUCAGGAACAAUAAAAAUAAGUUUUUUUUUCCGAGAGAAAUCUUACUCCAAUAUAAAAUUUAAAUAACGAAUCAACCUAACCACCCCCAUUAAAAUGCAUUUAUGUAGUCGAAGAUUAAAGGGUAGUGAAAAAUUCAAUGGAAAAAUUCAAUAGAGAAGUUAUUGGAAACCCAAAAGAUAUGAGUAAAGAUUCAAUGGAAAAAUUAAAUUGUUUGUAAAGAAAGAUACAUAGUGGGACAAUUCGAAAUUUUAUAAUAGCAACAGAAUCAUAUUGUUAUGAUUUGCUUCUAUUUUUGGAAAAAAUAACACAAUGUCAUAUCAAAUAGAUAUGAUAAGCUUUGGAAAGAAGUUAUAAUUUUUUUUUAAGUGAAAGAAGUUAUAAAUUGAAAAUAAAGAAAAAUAAAUAUUUUAAUUAACGUAUAAAUAGAAGCAGGAAAAAAAAGAAUAAUUACUACUCAUUUAUUAAAAAAAAACCAAUACCUAAUCAAAUAACAAAAACUUAAAUUUCAUAAAAAAAACUUUUUUAAAAACAAAAAAUUGUUAUGAUUUUCUCCAAUUAUUGGGGAACUUAGAACAUGUCAUUGCAAAUCAUAUAAUAAAUAAGUGAUUUUGUUUUAUUAAAACCAAUGGCAAAGGAGAAAUUGGAAAUCCCUUAGAAGGAAACCUUUUUGUUUUAUUAAAUUUCCAAAAAAAAAAAAAAAAGAGGUGUUCCCCUCCCCUUUUUCUCCCGGGAAAAAAAUUGGGGAGAAAAAAUUUUGUGAAGAGAGAUAUAUUACACACCCGGUGGGGGAAAAAAAUAUUUUUUUCCAAAAUUUUUUAACACCCCCCCCCCUCUUUUUUUUUUUUUGUGGAUAAAAAAAGAGGGGGUUUUUUUUUUUUUCUCCAAAAAAAAAACAACACACCCAAAAGAAGAAAUUUUUGGGGGAAAAAAAAAAUAAAUAUAUAAUAAAAAACACCCUUUUUUUUUAAAAAAAAAACCCCUUUUUUUUUUUUUGGGGGGGGGUUGUUUUUAUAAAAAAAAAAAAAAAAACACACCCCCCCUCUUUUUUUUCUCCCCCCAAAGGGGGGGUGGUGUUUUUUUUAAAAAAAAAAAAAAAAAAAAAACACCACCCUUUUUUCUCUUUUUUUUUUUGGGGGGGGGAGAAAAAAAAAAAUAAAAUAAAUUUUCUCUCUCCUCUGUGGGUUUGUGGGUGGGGGGCACCCCCACACCGGGGUGGGGGACANNNNNNNNNNNNNNNNNNNNNNNNNNNNNNNNNNNNNNNNNNNNNNNNNNNNNNNNNNNNNNNNNNNNNNNNNNNNNNNNNNNNNNNNNNNNNNNNNNNNAAUGAAAUAAGAAAUAAUUUUUAAUUCGUAUAAUGAAGCGAAAAAAAAUAUUUCUCUCUUUUAAAAAAAACAUACUAUCAAUACAAACUAAUUUCUAAAAAAUCUUUAAAACAAAAAUGUAUAUUUUCCAUUAUGGGGACUUAGACAUGUCAUGCAAUCAAUAAUAAAUAAGAUUUUGUUUAUAAACAUGGCAAAGAGAAUUGAAAUCAUAGAAAGACUUUUUGUUUAUUAUUUCAAAAAAAAAAAAAAGAUAACCUACAUUUUACCGUAAAAAUAGGAAAAAAUUGAAAGAUAGAACGUAGGAAAAAUAUCAAAUAACCACCUUUUUGUAAAAAGUUUAUUCAAGAACAGAUUUGGAAAUAUAACUCUAAAACAUAUCUAAUGAAUUAAAAAAAACAUAUCUAAUGAGUUUUAAAAAAAACAUAUCUAAUGAAAAUAAUACUGAUUGACAACUGUAACCAUUGCAUCAAACAAAAGGAUGAACAUAAUAUCAGUUGAAACAUUCAUUACAUCCAGGUACACAGCUCAUAGAGCAACUUGAAAUAGAAAACAAAGAAAAGAAGAAAAACUAAAUCAAGGAUCUUAAAAGGGUAACCACGGCUCAAAGAACCAACAAAAUACAUCAAAAAAUAAAAGCAAUAUCAACAACAAUACAUUUUCUCCUUGACAAUCUUCAAUGGCUUCUUGCUUGCUAAAUCAGUUGCAAUGGCUUUAGCGUCAAUAGGGAUGGGACAUUUAGAAGGAGGAGAAUCAUGAUCCUCGGCUUGAAGGGAGUCCUGAGAGUUGCCAUUGACUGGGACAACAACUUUCAUAUUUCCAUCAACUUCAACUUCCUUUUCCUGAGUCUGAAAACAUUAGGGAAAAAAUUUAAUAAGUAUAUAAUGUCUAGCAAAAAUUAAGUAAUUUGAAAACAUAAGUAAUCAUAGGACCUGCUCAUUUUCGGAUUAUGAGAGAACAUCCCUGCUAUUUUAAUCUGAUUAAAAGCAAGAGGGAAAAACACAAAAUCUAAUUAGUAAAAAUAGAACACACAGGAACAACACUUUCAAAAAAAAAACUCAUCUUUUGUGACAUUGUUUCCCAACAAAACAAAUAUGAAACUAAUAUACAUCAAUCCUUAUAGGUAGAAACCUAUAAGAGAUGGAAUGAAGGAACUUCUGCGGUAAAAAAAAAAAUACACUACAGUAAAGAAAUGAGAAUGGAAAAUAAGAAACGUCAAAAUUGAAUACCUAUGAGAAAUCACUCCUGCAUAUAAUUCCACCGCGACGGUUCCGUUGGAAGGGUAGGAUGUGUCAAUUGUUGAGUCAUCAUCCACUUUGAAAGUCAUUGCAAAAUUUCAAACAACAGAGAUUAGGAAAAGGAAGACGGGGUGGCAAGAGGACUGAUGAGCAGAUGAGAACUAAUAAGGGUCUUAUAUAGAAUUAUCCAGCCAGUGCAACAUUUGGACUUCUUCAGGGUUUAAGAAAAUGUAAAUAUAAUUUGAGGUUUUUAAUAAUUGGGCAGUAGGGUCUGUUAGUGGGAAUGAACAUCGUUUAUUGGACAAUAAGGGGGGCAGAUCCAAUUGAAAGAAAAGGAAUACAAACAGUCUAGGAAAAAAAUUGAAACAGGGGAAUAAAGGGAAAUCCAUUAUGUAUUUUAGGAAUUUGGCAACAGGAACUGGUGGUGGGAAUGAACAAAUGUUACUGGACAGUGAGGGCGGAAAAUUAAAUUAAAUUGAAAAAAUAAGAACACAAAUCGUCUGGGAGUAUUAUUGAAACAAUGGGGUAGAGGGAAAUAAAUAGAUUGGGGAUGAGAGCCGCAUGUUUAAAUCAAAUGGAGGAAAAAUGUUGUUUAAAUCGAUUGGAAAUUGGGAGAAAUUAAAGGGGAAGGUUGAUGGGAGAGAGAAAACAGAGAAGGAGGAGAAGCAACGAAUUUAAUGGGAAGGAUCAUGAGAGAGAGAAAUCAGAGGAGGAGAAAUUGAAUUCAGUUGCUACAUAAAGGGAUCUAUUUGAUUUUUUUUAUGAAAAAUCUAAAUGAAUUCGGUUGCUACAUAAAGAGUUAUAUUUUGUAACAAAAAAAAUGAGUUAUAUUUGAUUUUUUUUUGUGAAAAAAUGAAUUCGGUUGCUACCUAUUAUUAUUUUAUUUGAAAAAAUUUGGCAAAUUCUGUGGUACCUUGAAAUUCUUUUGGGUAUAGUACCCCGACUAGUUGAAAUUGUGAAAUUGAAGGACAGAGUAAGAGAGAAGAUUAGACAUUUUAACUUUUGUUGGAAUCUUAGACAUCAUGCCGGUUGUUGCAGCUCAUUUUAAGUCAGAAUCUAGUGGUGGAAGUGGAAAUGUAUGCGAUGUAAGAACAAGAGAGUUAUUGACCACAAUAAGGGUGAGAUAUGGAAAUUGGUGUCUGGCGAACGAUAAGAUAAUGAGAUAAUCUACUAAAAUGCUCAUGAAUGAUGGUGCUAGAGGCUUUUAGAAGUUAAAAAAAUUGGAGAUAGAGAGGUUUUACAUCAUUAAUGGUACCAUACCCUCAUUUAAAUUAAGGUACCACAGCAAGCACCAAAAAAUUUAUAUUAAAAAGAGAUCACAUAUGAUGAAAGUUAAAUUUUUUGAAUUCGGUUGUUAUAUCUCCGUAAGAUUUGAUUGAAAAAAAUGAUUUAAAAAUUGGGUAAUUGGGAUGUCUAUUUGAAGGGAGAAGAGAAAGGAAUUAAUGAGGGGAGAUAGUGGGAAAAAAAUUGAAUUGGGGAAAGGGAUGAUGGGAAUGGAGCUACGUUUAAUGCUGAGUGUGUUGUUAGCCUUGGAGAUAGAGAAACGUACUGAAUGAGGGAGUGGUUUAUUUAUCAUGUGAAAAAAUAAAGAAUACUGAAAGGAUUGGAGAGAAGGAGAAAAUCACUUCUUAUUGAUUUGAUUUUUUUUUAAUUUGAAAAAAUAUUUAUUUAUCUGAAUUUCAAUUACUAAUUCAAAGUUUCCAAGAAAUCUAUAACAAACUAUUAAGUGUAUGAUAUCUGGAAAGAUGAUAGAAAUUUAUUAAUAAAAAAUAACCUAAAUUUAUUUAAACCCAUAAUUUUUAAAGGAAAAAAGAUCCAAAUAUAUUAUUAUAGAAAACUAUAUAAUAUGAGUUUAUUUAUUAUCAUUCAUUAUAAUUAAAGUACAGAUAAAUAUUUAUUAGUAAAAAAUAACCAUAUGAAAGGCUUCAUCGUGAGUGGGGGAGCAAUUAAGAAAAAACAAAUAGUGGGAUUAAAUGUGAAGAUAAUCACACGCAUAAAAUAAUAGAGGAGGGAUAGUGGGAGAGAGAAAUGGAUAAAUGAAUGAAUAAAAACUAACGAAAUAAUAAGGGAGAGAUAGUGGGAGGUUGGGUGGAGAAAAAGAGAAAACGCAUUGAUGAUAGAUGGGAUGAGAGAGGUUGUAUGGAAUAAAAUAUAAUAAAAUAAUUAGUGGGGGAAUAAAAUAUUACAGUUUAUUCAAGUUGGGGGAAUAAAAUAUUUCCAAAUAUUUGAGGAGCUGACACAUCAGCUAAUCACUUCUUGGAGUGAUUAUGUUUUAAUAUAAGUAUUGAUUGAUUAGUACUAUCACCUUGCUAUUAAAAAAACAUUAAAAAUACCCACGAUUCACAAUUUCCGGCAGACACCACCGACACACGCCCCGGCGCACGUUGCUAAUUUGCGCUUCCUUCCUUCUUUCUCGUUGAAUGAUUUAUCAACGUUUCUCUAUUUCCUGCGAAAUUCCCUCCUUCAAUUCUGGAUUCCCCUCUCUCUCUCUCUCUGCUUGUUUCCAUUUUCUGCUGAUUCCUGUCUCUCAGUUGCAGUUGUUUGUUCCCCUCUGUUUCCAGCUGAAUCAAUCAAUCAGUCAGUGAUCACAUCCAUUGCUGCUUCUAGGUUUUUUGUGUGCCUGUAACUGUGUCUGUGACCAAUGAAUUGCUAAAUUUGGUGAUUCAAUUUGCAAAAUGAGGCGCCGCUCUGACCAAAUGGAAAGAUCAGCAAAGAACCAGAUUUCCCGGGUAUGCUGUUUAGCAUCAUUGUCUGCAUUCUUCUGGUUCUUUCUCUUGUACUUCCAUUUUGUUAUCCUUAGAGGAGGACAUAAUAAUACCAAUACUAAUACUAAUACUAAUCAUUAUGUUGAGAGUGAGACCAAAUCAACACCUGUUUAUGUAACUGAUGAUCCUCAAGUUCAAGCCCCUCCUACAAAGAUUGGCUUCACUGAUUCUGAACCCGAGGUUCGAAAGAGUGAUACUGAGAGUGAGAGUGAGAGUGAGACUACUGGCCAUGAUGAGAAGAAUUACCCUUUUAUGAAAGCAAUGAGAGCUGCUGAAAAUAAGAGUGAUCCAUGUGGGGGGAGGUAUAUUUAUGUGCAUGAUCUUCCGUCGAGGUUUAACGAGGACAUGUUGAAGGAGUGUAAGAGUUUGAGUCUUUGGACUAACAUGUGUAAGUUCACAACCAAUGCUGGCCUUGGGCCGCCGCUUGAGAAUGAUGAAGGGGUGUUCUCUGAUACUGGCUGGUAUGCCACGAAUCAGUUUGCUGUUGAUGUGAUAUUCAGUAACCGGAUGAAGCAGUAUGAGUGCUUGACGAAUGAUUCGUCUGUUGCUGCUGCGGUUUUCGUUCCCUUUUAUGCGGGGUUUGAUAUUGCGCGUUUCCUUUGGGGGUAUAAUAUUUCUGUGAGGGAUGCGGCUUCGGUUGAUCUGGUUGACUGGCUUAUGAAGAGGCCAGAGUGGAGCAUCAUGAAUGGGAGAGAUCAUUUUCUUGUUGCGGGAAGGAUAACGUGGGAUUUCCGGAGAUUAUCUGAGGAAGAGUCAGACUGGGGAAAUAAGCUUCUGUUUUUACCGGCAGCGAAGAAUAUGUCGAUGCUUGUGGUCGAGUCCAGCCCCUGGAAUGCAAAUGAUUUUGGGAUUCCAUAUCCUACAUACUUCCACCCUGCAAAUGAUGCCGAUGUAUUCAGUUGGCAGGACAGAAUGAGACGGUUAGAGAGGAAGUGGCUUUUCUCUUUUGCUGGAGCUCCCAGACCUGACAACCCAAAAUCAAUCAGGGGUCAAUUAAUUAACCAAUGCAAAUCGUCACGCGUUGGUAAGCUGUUGGAAUGUGACUUUGGUGAAAGCAAAUGUCAUUCUCCCAGCAGCAUAAUGCAGAUGUUUCAAAGCUCGCUUUUCUGCCUGCAACCCCAGGGUGAUUCAUACACCAGAAGAUCUGCAUUUGAUUCAAUGUUAGCUGGUUGCAUACCUGUCUUCUUCCAUCCUGGUCAGCAUAUACACAAUAUUUUUGGCAUCUCCCCAAGAAUUAUACCAAGUAUUCUGUCUUCAUCCCAGAGGAUGAUAUUCGGAAGAGGAAUGUCAGUGUAGAGGAAAGGCUUAGUCAGAUACCUCCUGAGCAAGUGAAAAUUAUGAGAGAAGAGGUCAUUAGUCUUAUUCCAAGACUGGUAUAUGCCGACCCUCGCUCCAAGUUAGAAACUCUUAAAGAUGCAUUUGAUGUUGCUGUUCAAGCUAUAAUUGACAAGGUUGCAAAUUUGAGGAAGGAUAUUAUUGAAGGCCAUAUUGAUGAGAACUUUAUUGAGGAGAACAGUUGGAAAUAUGCUUUGUUGGAUGAGGGACAGCAUGAGGUCGGAGCUCACGAAUGGGAUCCUUUCUUCUCAAAACCAAAGGAUGGUAGUGGUUGAGAUUCCAGUGAUUCCUCUGCCAAGGCAGCCAAAAUAUCUUGGAAGAAUGAUCAAAGAAAUCAAUCGUAAAAGAUAGGAGCUGCGUGAGGUUUAAUGCUGACAUAGAAAUGCUUUCCCAGAAUUGGUGAUGAAUUUUAUUGUUAGGGUCUUGCUGCUUCCUAAGUAUAUUGAGCCGGCUUCCUCAUUGAAAACCCUGGCAUGGAGGCUUAUUCUUUGCUUUAAACAUUUUUGUUAAAUAGUUUUUUCUUAUUUCUGCUCCUGUACUCUCCUCAGUGGUUCCUAGAAUGCAUUUUGCAAGGUUUAAUUUCUUUUCUGUAAUAUUUCUGUUCAUUUGAUACAUAUAGUAUAGGAAAUAAAAACAAAAUUGAUUAUGGUUGAUAGUAAACUCUAAAAAGUUUUACCAGUGAAGUCACAGAUAGAUCAGUUCUAUUGAGGCAUGUCCAAAUUAGUUUCUUUUGAUAAUUUUCAUGGAAAUGUCUUACUUUUCUCUACUUCUUCAUUUAUUUGAUUCUGUUCCUUUUUUCUAGCUAAGUGGCACAUUCAUUUUAGUGUAUUUGGUUUGGCUACUUCAUUUGCUGUGUUCACCUGGUUGAAUGGAUUGGAUUAUCCUGUGUAGCUACUUAUAUUACUAGAGAAAAUUAUGAGCUGUUUCUUUGGGAACAAAAAUUGGCAGGCAAGGCAAAUCUGCCAUUUGAUUAUUAAAUUUUCUAAAGCUUUUUAAGACUCUGUCCAAUUGAUGUUGACUGUUGAAUGGCGGUUAAACUAUCGGUGCUGGAAAACAUGUUACAGUAAAAUUCUCCUUGAAAUUAUGUAACGACUCAUUUCUUUGAUAUAUAUAUGAAAUGAACUCUUGAUGUUGAGAUUCGCUCUUAUGAAAUGAUUCACAUGUUGAGCAUACUUGUUAAUAGCGCGCUAUAGCGUAGCGCCUUGAGGGUUCACCGCUACUCUACUAUUCACCGCUAUUUGUCUCUAUAGCGCCGCAAUAGUGCUUGAAAUAACGUUUUUUGGGCUUGCCGCUACACUGCGCUAUCCACCAUUAACAAUCCUGAUGUUGAGUAAUAAUACUUGUUUCCUGGCAAAUCUUUUAACAUGUUUUUGGAAUGACCGUGUUAAAUGGUAAUUGAUAGUUUUGUUCUUAAUGGAAAUGCUUAGCUGGCACCGUGGCAGUACUACUAGGCAAGUGUUAGUGUCUGUUUGUCCGUGGUUUCAAAAACCAUGAGUAAAAAUGAAAGUAUGUAGCAAAUAUUUAAGAUUGGAAAAAUUAAUUUUGCUGUGAGUUGAAUUAAUCUUGAAGGAAGUAAUUUUUUUAACUUUUCUCUUUUGAUUCUAAGAAUAUGACUUAAAAAAACUCUUCACAUUUUGUACUUCAAAAUUGAUUCUGUCAGUAGGAGAGACGAUAGAGAGGAGGGAAAUGAAACUGAUGGCUUUUAUGGGGGAAUAAGAAAGAUUAAGAGUGAAUCUGAGAUUUCCAUUUGGAAAUGCCUUUGGCCAUCUGGAGUCUUGGAUUAAAAUAGGCACUGGAUCUGAUCAAAUUCUCCACUUAGCAUGAUAUCAAAUAGCUGCUUCGCUUCAUCAACUGAAGCAUUAGCUGAUUCUGGAUCAAGUUCUCCAUCGAUGUAAAUUACUCAUUGUUUAUGCACAAAUGAUGUAGGAUAUCUAUUCCACUAUAUAUAAAAUCUAGCUAUGUUAAAUUAGUAGCUUUGAGCUCUCGUAGCUAUAUACAUUUCUAUCCUAAUGAAUGAAGAUGUUCAUGCAUUGUCUACGUGUAAAUAGAUCAUUACCAACAUGCAAUGAGGAUGCUCACUCUAUUUGGCCAUUGAAUUUUCUUUUUGCUAAGGUUUAUGGUUUAGGUGUAUAUUAUCAGCUUUAGUAUCAGCCAUUUUCUGUGUCAUUUAAUGUUAGCCAUAUCUACUUUGUGGGCUGUUGUUAUUGUUUUAAAAAAGGUUAUAUAAACAGAGAUAACAGUGACCUACUAAGUUGAGAAGCUAUAUGUUUAAUUUACUGUGAGAAUGCCUUAGAAUCUCCCAUCUGGGUAUGGUCAGAUUCAAUAUACCAUUAACUGGUUUGUUUUCUCAUUCAUUUGAAUCUACAUCAAGAAUUAUCCUUAGGUCCAGGAAAGAAGAUUGUUGGGGAAAUUGAUUUUAUAAUUCAUAUUUCAAAAGAAAGGUAUAGGCUCCAUGUCACGAUCCAAUUACAAAGUGUGAAACUUAAAUCUCACAUUCAAAGUACAUGAUUCCAGUAUGAGGUUUAUAAGGCUUUGGACUCUCCAACCACAUCAACUAUUUUUGUUAAUUGGUUUAAGAGUCUUCCACCAUGUAAGUAUUGACACCAGCAAUACAAUUUAACUUACUGCAAUAUGCAUAAUCCAGUUAAAAUGUAUGUUCUCCCACAAUCCUAGCAAAGAAAAAGAGUUGGAUUGUACCAUGCCAAAUUCAUUUGGGUCUUGUCAUCAGUUGUUUCAUAUUUGUCCCAAUGGGAUGAUUGUGCCCCUGCUCCAGGUUUCGGGCCAAGUUUCCUCAAGAAGGCUGGCUUCAUCACUAUUUUAAUCUUGUACUUAGAACUGGGAUUACCCAUGUGUGCUUUCCAAAAGAAAAGCUUCACUAUAUGCUCUCUCUUUCUUGAGCAAAAACCACUUCUUUCAAGCUCACCUUUAUUUCUCUCCAUGUCAAGAUGAGUAGACAAGGUCCCCUUGGCCUCAGAGGGCUCAUCUGAAUAUGAAAUGUCCAUCUAGUUUGACAGAAAAACCUUGGGCUGCCAAAGGCAAUGAAAUUGAUGAAAGGAUCAAGGAAUGGUAAAGUUCUAUAGAAUACAAUGACAAGAAAGCUUGGGAAAGAGCUGAAGUGUUGAGAUUUUUUGGUGGUGAAUUGAAGGGAAGAUGGAUUGUAUUAUAUAUGAGGAGCUAUGGUGUCAUCCUCCAAAGCAGUCUUCAAAGCCUAACCAAAAUUGAGUAUAUUACUCUUCAUUCUUCAAAGUACUAAGUUUUUGUCUAUACUUGGCAAGUUAAUUAAUGGUGUUUUUUCUCUGUUUGAUUGCCUUAUAACGAAUUUACCUAAAGAAUCAAACAUAUCCUUUAUCCUUUAUCUCAUGAUCCCCUUCCUUGGUGUUUUUCUAAGAUACGUACUAAACACCCCACUUCUCUUAUCUUCUCUUGUUUUACUCAUUUUCAUGUUUUAUAUUUUUUAAAUUAGUUUUUAAUUUUUAUUUUUUUAGUACAAAUAUAUGCGAGUUUAUAUUUACUGGAUCUUACACAUCAUAGAAAUUAGUAAGUCAUGCUUAUUUGAUACAUCAUUAUAUAAAGUGUGAGCAUGUAUAAAUUUUGAACAUUGUUAAUAUUAUUGAUACUGUUUGACUACAAUUUUAUAGAACUUUUUAAGUUUACAACAUUGUUAACAUAUUUUUCCAAGUGAAACAACGAAAAUAAAUGACAUUAUUAAUAUAUGACUUGUAUAGUUAGUAAUUAUAUUUAUGUGUAUUGAGAAUGAUAUCUUAGUUCAUCAAAGUAUACAUUUAUGGCAAUAGAAAAAAUGUUUAUCAGGAUGUAAAAGAAAUUUAUUUUUCUAUGUUAUUCUAUUGCUAAUGUGUGAGUGGGAUGUGCUAGGAUCUCUUAACCUUAGGUUUGAUUUCUUGAUUUACUAAGAAAGAACAAGCAAAAUCUCCAUGUGACAUAUUGUCAAAAAUAAAUAUAAAUAAUUACCAUUAAGAAAAGAAAAAUCUCCAUGUGACAUACCAUAUAAUCCAUGGUGUGGACCUUAAACCUUAAAUCGUUAACAUAAACCUUUGAUUAUAAUGUUACUUAAAAUAAAUUUAAGUUUAGGGAUCUUACCACGUGCAACAUUAGCACUUUGACGCAAUCGACACUUGAAAGUCGAAAAAAGACUUGAACGUUGUGGGAACUCGAUAAGCACUCUUCCGACGGACGAUUCCACCAAGGGUAAAAAUAGCACCCCACACCUCUUCAAUGAUUAGUAUAUCUUGAAAUCGGCUAUGCGAUGCCAGAGUUAGAGGAUUAUUGUUUUAAGGAACGAGCCCGAUUUGGGUAAGGCAACCAUGGUCUUACCCGUGCAACAUCAAGACUCCAACGCAACCAACAAUUGGUAGCUAGUCAAACACUUGAAUGCUGAGGGAACUACUAGUAUUCCUAGCAAUAGCCACCCGAAUACUAUGCUAAUGUCCCCCUCAACUUGUCUUCUAUUUGUGCCCCUUCACAAUCAAUGACAUACAACACCCUUAAGCACAAUGCUCGAGGAAGCUGCAUCCAUACACAAAUGACUGCAGAUUUGUCUGAUGGAACAAGGGUCAGGGAAAUCCUACUACCCACCAAAACCCGGGCAGUUGUCGACCCCUUGAUUAAAAGGGAGUCCCCGAAAUAUCAUUCCUCGAUGCAUAGGGAACCACAUAAACUUCCACUAUAUAAAGAGGGCCAGACCGCAAGCAAUGUAACACAUCUCUACAUUAUCUCCUCACUUUUUCUGCCCUUCCUAACGUAAGUUUCAAAGUAGUAAUGUGUGAGCCAACGUUUGUCGCAGCACCAUGGCCAUAAGCUUGAAGCGCUACGCGAUCACUUUCUCGCAGUCAGAAGCUUUGUGUCACCACUCCAUUCUUUCCUUCUACCAUCUCCCUUCCUCUGAACACCUCUUCUAAUGAUUUAAUUUGAUGUCAUCCAAUCAAUUGACGACGUCUAUGGGAACCGAUAGAACUUCCUUUGGUCACGAGCAUGGCCAAGAUGCGACAAACAACAAAAUUGUCAAAUAUGGAGAUUCCAAUUUAGUUAGAGAGUUAAGGACAUGACCGUAAUUUCAUUAUGGGAAUUUAUUCCCAAAUUCACAUUUGCUUUAAUGCAACAAACUUUUUAGAUAGAGAGAGUGAAUGCUCUCAAAAACUCAUUCCCUCACUCUGACACACUAACCUCUCAUUCGUUCUUUUCUGCAAUGAAUUCAGAGGUAUCUCUAUGUGGGUCUUGAGGAGCAAGAAUCACGCCUCGCCAGAUCAUUCUUGUGGAAAAUUGAAAGAAAAAGAAAUUGCCCUCAUAGACGCAUCACAUAUAUAGCCCUAUGAAAUGCACUCAUAGACGCAUANNNNNNNNNNNNNNNNNNNNNNNNNNNNNNNNNNNNNNNNNNNNNNNNNNNNNNNNNNNNNNNNNNNNNNNNNNNNNNNNNNNNNNNNNNNNNNNNNNNNCAAAUUAUGCAAACACAUGCAGUCUUAACUUAUAAAAUGCAAAACACUCUUCAUAAACCCAUAAAUUCCAAAUUUACUUCAACUCAUAUAACCCCAAAAUGCAUGAGAUGCAUGAACCCUACAUAGACAAAGAAAAGACUUCAAACACUCAAAGAAUGACCCUAAAACCACUACUAACGUAGGUCAUCAAUUAGCGACCGAAUUUUCGUCGCUAAAUCGGUGGCUAAGGUACUUAUUGUUAUUUGUUCAAUUAGCGACCGAAAUGUCUGUCGCUAUUGUUCCCGUCGCAAAAGCGGUCACUAGGUAGCUGUUAUUAGCGACAGAUUUAGUUGUCGCUACUUUUAACACAAGCUCACAUUGAGACACGCUGAAUCUUAAGUGAAAUUCAUCUUCACAUACGUUAACCCUAAAAUCUAUUGUCCAUACUUUCUUCCCCUUCUUUAUUCUUUACACGGCGACGACACACAGGGCAAGAGAGAUCACAGAGCGGUGGAGUUCGAGACUUCGAAGAUGAAGGUAGCUUCUGAGCUUGAGUUCCUCUUCGACGUGGCUAACAUCAUGGACAACUUCUUUCUUCUCACGAAUCUAGGUCGAUCUACUCGCCGAUAGAGGGAUCGACGAUGAGGCGAAGAACAACAGUGUGGCAACGACAGCUAGAACAACAAUCGCGCAAUUCAUUGGCCUCCUCCCCGACAAAGCCCUUACUUGGUGCUUGUAGUCCUAGGACUGGUGCUAGAAUUAUUCCUGGGACUGAAGAGAAAGCAAACGAAUCCGAAAAUUAUUGUUUCUAUCUAUUCAGUGGUUGAUGUUUGUAGUUUGUUCCAUAGUGUACGCUUGCUAGUGUCUUCCAAAUUUUUGUUUUUCACAUGUUUUAUCAGUGUUUUGUCACGAUGAAGGUGGACUAGUUUUGUUGUUUCUAUUGGCUCCUCAUGGUUAGACUACCUAUGGGAAAUUUUGAGGUGAUUUAGCUUCUUCUCUUAUGUGAUUGUGCUCUUUAUGAGUUAUUUGAAAAUGUCAUUGUGCAUGCAUUUUAUUUGAGAGUUCAUUGAAACUGGACUUGAUGUGCUGGUGCUAUCAUCCUUAUCCAAAUAUCCACCUCUCAUUUUUUUUGGAAAAUUGACGUUGAGGAAACGUAUUGUAAAUAUGCAAUUUUUUUAGCAAUUGUAGUUCUGUAUUUUGUAACACCCCGAUUUCGGUGGCGUCACUUUAGUAACCAAAAAUAAACUUAAUGCGGAAAAACGUGAAUAUUUUUUUUUUGAUAAUAACUAAGACGAGACUGAAUUAAAUAAAACCCAACAGUAACGAUAAACAGAACUAAUAUACAAUAUAUAAAACAGCCCCCGCUGUAAGAGGCAACCUCGUCACGAGCAAACCUCCAGUGACGGGUAAUAGAAGAGUAGCGCCCGUAGGCAAUAUGUACAAACCGAAUGAAAGGGUGAAGUGUCCGCAACACCAUCCCUCAAAACUGAGAAUAAGCUGACCCAAUGGUCUGAAAAUAAGACCUCCUAAGUCCAACCAACUCUCUGUGAUUCCCGUAAAGAAACCACACAAAAAGCUAUAGGCGGAACUACCCUGUCCCAAAGGAAGCAAAUGAUGUUCAGAGCUAAGACUCUACUCCUAAACUAAUCCCAUCUCUAGGAGCUCACACCAGCACUAAGACCUACAUGCUAGCAUGAUCGUCGUCCGAAUUUGAAAUCCAGAACGACCUAGUCUAUGUGCAUCCUCCGUCCUCCUCUCGCUACCGCGAUGCGCUCCUGUUCCAGCUUCUCUCCUAGUUCCUCCCGAAGGGGGAACCAUCAUGAACUAGCCCGCCAAAGACAUCUGACAAUGGGCGUUUGUCCGCCAAAGCACACACAGAAGACGCGAGGGUCAACUCCAAAGAAUUACGUAAAUAAUAGCACCAAUAGAUAUAGAUAAGAGAAUAGCCACUUAGGCUUAUAGCUAGGGAUAACAUCCUAGGGUUGCAUAUUCCACGAUAACAUAAACGACAAUAAUAACAUUUAGCAUGUUCCAAAUAGGAUUAACAAAUAACAAUCACAUUCGCCAACUAAAUUAGUAUGCAUGUUGCAUGAUAUGCAAAUGACGGUUAACCCAGUUAACCAAAUGCAUUCCGGAAACGGAUGGACAUCAAACGGAUCAAUCCUAGCACCAGCAACGGUGGGACCAUUUCUGCCCGCGUGCCUCUUACACCAAACAAAGGUAUGGACAACAACGAGUCAAUCCUAGCACCAGCAACGGUGGGACCAUUUCCGCUCGCGUGCCUCUGGGAUGGACAUCAACGGGUCAAUCCUAGCACCAGCAACGGUGGGACCAUUUCUACCCGCGUGUCUCUUACACCAAACUAAGGUAGCCAGAUCAGCAGUAAACCCGUAGGUCUGCCAUUUCGGUCUGCUACAAGAGUCGUCUACAAACGCUCUUACACGACAUUCCGGGUCUUAUGACCAUUUUAGAAACCGACGACAUUUGGAAUUCUCCGAGGUCUGGUAUCACGCCGUGUAUUAACCUCCUAUGUAUGCAUGAAUGCAAUGUGAUUAACCAAACAACGUCUCCGACCUCACUCGACACGUCGCCACGUGUUCUAGGUAAAUUAAUGUCUCUAAAAGCUUACCCUAAAGUAAAAGUCGAUUCUACGACAAAAGACCACACUUCACAACAACACAUAACUCAUGAUGAUCUACAAAUCAUCUGACUCAUCUCAAUCCGAUGGUCAUAACUGCUCAACGAGCAAAGAGCAUCACACUCUCGGAAACUAACGGUUUCCUGGACUUAUCCCCAGGAUAGCCCAACAACAUAGCUGCUCCAACAGCCCAACAACAAACGCUGCUCCAACAGCACAACAACAUCUACAUACUCAAAGCCUCUCAACUUUCUCAACACUGGGAUCCGACGACACUUCUCGUUUUCCCAAAACUAAGAUUUGCAUCCAAAGCUUCCUUUCGAGUUUAUUAUCAUUAAUUGAAGAUUUAAAGGUUGUUUAAUGUCUUAUGAGUUUUCUUUUCAAAAUAAUAUCCUUUUAGUCUUAUCGCAAAAUCUUAUAAGUUCUCGGGAUCUUCUAAUCCCCAAAUGACUCCAGAGAAUGUCUCGAUCCAUAAACAUCAUAGCAAGGUCCGAAUCUCAUUCGUCCUAUCAAACUUUCUCAAAACUCUCAAAAUAAAAUCGGCAUGGCCUGCCCGCUAUUCUCACUUUUCAGAACCUCAGAUUUCGUUGCAAAAGCAUAAUUACAUCAUCACAGUCAAUCAACAUGUCAUAUAUCAACAUAUUAAGCGAUAACCACAUAGCACUUAGCAUAUAAGGCAUGCACCACACAUCCUAAAUUACCCAAUUAGCACUUAGCAUGUAAGUCAAUCUCAAAAACAUUCAUUAGAUGAAUCAUCUACAUUGUCAGCCGAAGCCUCAGAAAACAUUUUCCAAUCACACACAAACCAGUGCAUAAACAGUAAACAAUGUCGAAAGCAUCGACCCUAAGCAUUAACUAGAGAUUCAGUGAGAAGCCCUCACCUGUAGGUUCUCCAGAGUUAUCUCCUAAAGCUCCUUCACAAUCAAAGCCUUACUCCGCUGGAAAUUCCUCAAAAUCACCUUUAGAGCAAAACCACAGAAAUACUAUCAGAAUCUAUCGGAAACUAAGCUAUCAAUACAUUACUAAGGUUACACGAAGUAGUACAUACUCGGAGGUACGAUAAUCUAGCGCGAAAGACAAGUUUUCGGAAAAGGAAAUUUUCCUCCUCCCCCUUAAUAGGUUCGGCCACUUUGGGUAAUUGGGGAACUCGAUUUUUCUUCGAUCAAACUUGGUUCCUAUGCUUUCAUUAGCCGUAACUAAGGGUAUUCUGAACUCGGAAAAAUUAUCGGAUCAAAAACUGUCGCAGGGGUAUUUUGGUCAUGAUUUUUAACUUAGAAAUUUCAAAACUGAAAUCUCAAAAACCAAAUUUGACAGGGACGUUACUAACGACGUUUAUGACAACUAAUCCUACUAGCACUAAGCUAAGGCGAUAGUUUACAGCCUAAAGGUUGAAGCUUUACUCCAAAAACUCCAAAAAUGGGUAUUUAAGGCUAAAAUUGAUUCCGGCGGAAAUCCGGCGACAUAACGGAAAAUCUAAUCCGGCAGAAGUGAUCUUGGGCAUAUAAAGAAGGGGUUUAGAAUCAGAAAUGAAAUAUUCAGGAUAGUUUUGCAAAAACCCAUAAACUAUCAGCUCAGAAAAGUCUACAGAAAAGCUAUGGAAAAAGCGAUCGGAGGUAAGGAUUAGCGACUAUACCUCGAAACCUUGAAGCAGCAACUGAUUGAUCGACGAUCAAGCAAGUAAUGAAGAAAAACUCUUCUUCCUUCUUCCUUGUUGAAGCUCGCGGCCUUGGAGAGAAAAAUGGAGGAGUUUUGUGUUUUUUUCUCACUUGCUUGCUAUAUAUAGAAGAUGGAAAUUCGCGGGAAAAUGAAAGUUUCGCGAAUCUGAUUUUUCCGGCGUCAUUCUCCGUGAAUUCUAAGAUAUGUUUUGGCAAAAGAAUUCCAAAACUAAAAAGAUGUCUCCUUGUAUUUUUGGCAACUAAAGCAUAGUCGGUGUAAAACUAUUUUACCCGAUAAGUUGCUUUUUGCAUCGGAUGUCGGAAUGGAAAACUUCCUUCUGAAGAAAGAUUGAAAUCAUCAAGAGAAAUGGGUGUACGCGUGUAGAAUAUUCAUUUGAUGUUCCGAAUAGAAAAAGUCCUCAUAGUCGGGUGAUUCUAGGGUUUUGAAAUACCAGGGUUUUGGUUUCGGCAAACUUCCGAUGAUUGGAAUCGGACGUUCGUAGAUCCUAGAGUUUCGCCUCGAAACGAUUGUUAUAUAUGGAAAAAGAGAAGUUCUAACAUUUCUCUGAAGAUUUUUGGAAUUAACUUCCAUUGUGCCUAAAAGUGAAAAUUAGUUAUAUACUAGGGUUUUUGACCUAGGUUAAGCGUAUAACGAUCGUGCUAUAACUUUUAUCGAUCAUAAUGCAAUCAUUGAACUUUUCCUGAACUUUCUCCUUCAUAAAUAUAUUUCAUUUAAUGAACUUUUGUUCAGGUUUCCCUUCACAUUACAUCAACCCUAAUCGUGAAUAAGAGAUUUAUUCACUUAGCAUAAGCUUAAAAACUUGGGCCUUACAUAUUUGCAUUUAAUGUGAGAAGAGAAGAAAAAGCAAAAAAAAAAAAACGAAUACCAAUUUCCGUGGUAAAUUUUUGUACUCGUCACUAACUUUCCAAAUUCGCCGCUAAAUUUAUGGCUAAAGCUGUCUCUAAAUUACGGCUAAAUCCGUCGCAAAAUCGGUCCCUAAUUUUCAUUGCUAAAUCAGUCGCUAAUUUCCGUUGGUAAAUCGGUCGCUAAUUGUCAUCGCUAAAUUUAGCGACUCAAGUUAUAUAAACCAACCAUUUUCGGUCGCUAACGGAUUUAGCAACCGAUUUAGCCCAUUUAGCGACCAACCAAAUCGGUCGCUACUAGACUGUUUUCUGGUAGUGUAUGACAGAAACAUGCAGAAAAAUAAAGGCCCUAAAAACUACAAUAUCCACAUCAUCUCAAAAGUUUAUCUUCAACUAAUCAUCAAUGAUGUUCACUUCAUUAACAAUAGUUCCACCACAUGGCUCCUCCUACAAAAGUAAAUAAACAAAUCAAAAUUUAACCAACCAAUAAUAUUAUUAAAUUUAAAAACAAAGUAACACAAAAUGGCUUACAAUGUCAACAUCUGAAUCUGCAGAUACUGUAAAAUAUUCAAUCAUUUGAUUCAAAUCCAUUGGUUUUGAUUGUGAAGAAUCUGAAUGGGGAAAAAAAGUUAUUUAAAAUUUGCAAUAAUGAAUAAAUCUUUGUUAACUUAAAUUAAUACACUUACCUCUCACAAUACUCCAAAGCCAAUUUUUGUAACAUAUCAUUGCUUCUAAAAUCCGGAUGCAAUCUACUCUGAUGUGGAGUAAGAAACCAACCACCGGUGCUGAAAGAAGACUGAGAAGCAACAAUGGAUAUGGGAAUGACUAGGAAAUCUCGGGCAACCAUUUGCAGUAUAGAGUAUGUCAAGCCAUUUUGUUUCCACCAACCUAAGAUAUCAAAUUGUUCAUCAAAGCGUAACACCACAUCAUCUAAAUAGAUGUCUAAUUCCGACAUGCGAUUUCAUUUGCCUCUCCCACUUUGUCCACUAAGACGAUUAAGCCAUGUUGUCCUCCUUGACGGAACUCCAGUACUAGUAUUCCGCUCCUCUACAUUGGCUUUGUGCAUGGAGAUGAAUUCACAAUUUCCUUCCCUUGAGCCUCUUUUCAUACUCCUCUACUAAACCUUCACAAAAUUUUAUCCUUUAAAUUUCAUGAGAAGGUCUUUCUCCAUAAAUUAAAGGGUAAAAGACUUAAACAAAGUCCAUUUUGUACCUAGGGUCUAAAACAAUGCUUACAACCUUCACACCAUUAACCUCACCCCAAUACUUGUCAAAUUUUACUUGCAUAAGUUCAGUCAUUUUCUAAAUAACCACAUUAGAAGAACGAACUCACUCAUUCAAAGCUUGUUUAACUUCACAUAUUUCAGGGAAAAUGACAUUCAAUGUUUGAUACAAAGUUCUAGAGAACAAAUUGGUCACAUCAUAAAAUAUUUGCAACUUAACACAAAUUUCUUUUGCCAUCUCCCACUCAUCUUCUUGUGGUGCGGUGUCUUUACAUUGACUCUUUGUAAUCAAUGUCAACUCGCAACAUAAAAAAUGUAGAAUUCCACCUAGUUGGGCAAUCAAGGCCAAGCUUUCAAUUAUAGGUAAGGUUCAAUUGCUCGCAUGCAUCUUGGAAUUUACACUACCUCUAACUUUAUCAAUAGCUUUAGUAAUAAUAAUCAAACUAUCCUUUACAACUAAAUUCAGUAUGUGCGCACAACACUAUCGCAUGUGAAACACAUUUUACCCACCACAAAAACAAGUGUUUUUUACCGUUUAAUAUCUAUAUUCUUAUACAUUUUUCCCCGGGCAUUUUUUAUAAUUUGGCGUGAGAUAUUUUUCACCAGGGGAAGAGCGUGGCCAACCUUUUUUGGNNNNNNNNNNNNNNNNNNNNNNNNNNNNNNNNNNNNNNNNNNNNNNNNNNNNNNNNNNNNNNNNNNNNNNNNNNNNNNNNNNNNNNNNNNNNNNNNNNNNAGGUCCAUAAUCUAGCUCCUUCAGUCUGUCAGAUGAGAGACAUAAGAAGAGAUGCUCUGAAGAAAAGAAGAGAGACAUCAGGCACCAUUUGAUACUGUUGUAAUAGUAGAUACAGAGUGUUUUAUAGAGAUAUAGAAGCUAGUGAAGUUUACCACGUCCAAUCUAACUCACUCAACUGAAAACUUACAAACAGUGAAACUACCAACUGGGGAAGUUAACCCCACAAAUUAACAGAUUAAUUAGUAAAUAGAAAAACAAGCUAACUGAAACCUUUCUCCUCUGUUACUUGGCGCAUGCAACAAAACUUAAUUAGAAGUGAUUAUUUACUGGUAAUACCUCUUAAUAAACUAUAUAACUUAAUCCUCCCGGAUUACACAUAUCAUUUAUGAAAUAGGGAGCCAAAAGUAAUCAGAACGAAAUACUCACUGGGGUCAAUGUUUCCACGGGGAAAGCUCACUAGUAAUACCAUGCAGAAAGAAAACACAAAGGUUGAGAGUAAUUCCAUGCGCAGGCAGAGCCACUCAAUAGCUGCAAUACUGCAGAAGAAUGGUCGUGCGAAACAGUCCAGAAGAUAGAGGUUCCUCUUCAUGAACCUUUUUUCUUGUCCAAAACCUCUGAUGGUGGCUGCUCCAGCAAUUGAUUCACCAAAAAGUUGAAUAAUUGGAGAUUUUUGGAUGCUUACAAUACGUACCAGUUCCCUUGAGGAAGCCAUGUAGUAUUUCUGCAAGGAAUUAGUUGAUGGUACAUUUAACUAUUUAAGUCACAAACUUGGUGGAAGGCAAACAGAAAAGAAAGAUGCAAUGUAUUAAUGGAGGAUUUCUAGUCUUUUGUCAUUGUAAAUUCUCUUCCCCCUUUGAAUAUUGUUUUCUUCUAAAGAAGAAAACAGCGUGAGGGAUAGGUACUUUACGAUACAUAAACCUUAUUUUAAGAACACAUAACUCAUUUUCUUUUGCCUUUCUUUAAAAGCAGGAAGAUCGGUAAAAUUUAAGCUGGAAGAUCUCUAAUUACCUGCAUCCACAAACAAACAACAGCCAUUGGGACUACUAGGAGCAAAACUUGCCAUGUAACUUCUGUCAUUACAGCAACAAUGCCAAUAAGCUGUAUUGUAGAUGAAGCAAAACCUCCAAGUCUAAAAGGAAUGUCAAGAUCCACGACACUUUGAUCAACUGAAACCUGAUGGGAUGCGGAUAAUCCAUUAGAUGAUGUACAUCACAUAAAUUGAAAGAUAGAAAAACAAAAAGAGGGGAGAAACAAGAAAACUUACACGAUUUAAGAUCCUUCCAGCUGGUGUAGAGUCAAAGAAAGACAUUGGUGCACGGAAAAUACUUCUAAGCAUGUUGAAAAAUAGCUUCUGUGCAGAUGCUAGGCCAAAUGUAGCCACGAGAACAGCCCUUACAAAUAUGAACAAUGAGCUGCCAAAAGCAAGGCCCAUGUAAACAAGAAGAAGAACCAUGGGAGUUACUUUGGGUUGGUCUCCCUCUGUCUGAGGAUUUGCCCAUGCCAUCCACCAAUUACUAGCGAUCUGAAGGAACUGAAAUAAUGUUUGUGCAAUGAUUAUGAGGGGAAUCAACAAGCCUUUAUACGCUGCAGCCAUGUAGGACAAGUACACCUUCAUGUUGACUCUACCUCUAACCCUCUCCUCUUCCUGAACAAGCUGUUUUGUUCUUGAGCGUUUUGCUUUCUUCUUCUCCUUAAUUGCUUUCUUAUCUGAUGAACCCUUUUGAACUUCCUUUGCCAAACAGUCAAUAUCAUUUACUGAGGAAAUGGAAUUCUUACUGGUUAUAGUGGAUUCAUCCAAGGACACAUUUUCAUCUGAAUCUUCUGAGGAGUGAGUAGGAAUGUCCAUAGCCUCAAUUGCUUCAUGGUGAGCUGAAACUAGAGUUCUAAAAUCUGUUCCUGCCUGUAAAAGAUCAUCAUACUUCCCUGCCUGUAUGAUUUGGCCUUCUCUAAGAACCUUCAAAUUGAAAACAUAAAUUGGAAAAUUAUUUUCACUUCAUAUCAAACACAUUAUCAUACUCAAAUAAUUAAAAGAGGAUUCUUCUUAGUCCUUGAAAAAUGUAUUUAUGAAUAAAGGUAAAUUACAUAUGUUGACAAUAAAAGGGACCAGAGAUCAACGUUAUAACAAUGCAAUUCAUCUGAAAAUUAAAAGAAAAUAUUUUUGUAUGUAUCACUGAUACAUUCAGUUACCAUGAUGAUCAAUUUAUACAAGUUUCACACAGGGGGAAACUGCUGUAAAACAGAACAAUAUCUAGGGAAUGGAUGCAGGAGUUCCAUCACUACAUAAGCAGCUUCACUCCUUAGCCUUGUACAGAUCAAUUUCAUAUGGACCCACAAGCCUGGACAUUUCCUCUAACCUUGUUUUUGCAGCCAUCAAAAUCUCAUGUUAAAUUCUAUGUCAUAACAUUAAUUUCACGAAAUCAAUCCUAUACUUUAUAUAUGUUUCAUUAUCAUAUUCUGAAGCAGUAAAGAUUUUACUGUGUAUACUUGUCAAAUUCUACACCUUUUUUUCAAAUUGAAUAGUAAAAAAAAGUCAAAACCCAUAAUUCAAAACAUAAGACGUAAACAUAAGUGCAACCUUGAAACUUUGAUAUGCCUAAUGAAUCUGUCCUGAACCCAUAUAGUAAUAUAAAGAGAAAGAAUUAAGAAGCCAACCAUGACAAGAGGGGAGAAACAAUCCAUCAGACUGAACUAGUAGAAAGCAACUCCGACCCCCUGAUCAUGCAGGUAAUAUAUAACUCAAAUGCAAAAUAGUUGUAAUAUAAUUUAAAAUAAUUAAAAAAACAUACACAUGAACACAUGAACAAGGCCUCUUAAGAAUUUCAUAAAUGCAUGAACGUGUGAGACAAAACCACACUGUCAUACCAGUAUCAUAUCAGCAGCAGGAAGAAAUUCAACUUGAUGGGUCACGAAAAUAACUGUUUUAUCUGCUAGUGCAUUCAAUACAUACUCCUGCAGUGACAUAUCACAGAUUAAGCCAACCCCAAUUCAUUUAAACAGCAUCAUUAUUUCAAAGUUUAAGAAAAACUAACUCUGAAUAAUUCUGAUCCAGUGUGGGCAUCAACUGCACUGAAGGGAUCAUCAAGGAGAUAAAUAUCUGCAUCUUGGUAGAGUGCUCGUGCAAGCUGAAUCCGCUGCUUUUGGCCACCACUCAAGUUUAUACCUCUAUCGCCAAUAAUUGUUUGGUCUCCAUGUGAGAAGAGUUCUAGGUCCUUUUUCAGUGAACAAGCAUGAAGAACACUCUUGUACUUUGGUUUGUCCAUAUGGUUGCCAAACAGGAUAUUUUCUUCUAUAUUUCCUGACUGUAUCCAUGCUGAUUGAGGGACAUAUGCAGCUGAACCACACACUCUUACCUGCAAAAUAAACCAAUUCAUUUUGUAAACUGAUAUAAAUAGAGUAUUUCUAAUACCAAUGGACAAACACAAAAACAAUAAGGAUGGAAUUCUAUCCCUAAGAAUAAUAACAUACUUCACCAGAAAGCUUGGGAAUCUCUCCAAGGAUGCAAGAAAGAAAACUUGAUUUCCCAGAACCAACUACGCCACAAACAGCCAAUGCUGCACGCGCAGCCUAGCGCGCGCCCAGCUGCCGCACUGGACGCCGGACUUCGAGACAGACGACGUGCCCGACCUGAUCGAGCAGAUCCGCCUGCGCCUGCUGCCCCGGCGCGGCGUGUUUGCGCUCAAGGAAGAGAUCCGGGACAANNNNNNNNNNNNNNNNNNNNNNNNNNNNNNNNNNNNNNNNNNNNNNNNNNNNNNNNNNNNNNNNNNNNNNNNNNNNNNNNNNNNNNNNNNNNNNNNNNNNAUAGAAAAGGGUGUGUUUUAUGUUUUCCAACACUACAUAAAGAUGUCUUAUUCAAAAUUGGUCUCACGAGAAUUCUGUUCUGAAUGUAACAUGCUGGUAUUUACUGCUCUGCCCAAAAUGUUAAGCCAUGCCAGUUUCUUGGAGCAUGGUUCUAGCCAUCUCCUGAAGAGUUCUGUUUUUCCUCUCAACAACACCAUUUUGUUGAGGAGUUCUGGGAAAGAGAAAUCAUGUGCAAUUCCAUAGGAAUCAAACAGACUCUCAAACUUGUCAUUCUCAAACUCUCCACCAUGGUCACUUCUGACACGCACAAUCCUACAAGCCUUCUCAUUUUGCACUUGAGCAAUGAAGGUAGAGAACACAGCAUGAGACUCAUCCUUGCGGGUUAGAAACUUUACCCAUGUCCAGCGGCUAUAGUCAUCAACGAUAACCAUCCCAUAUCUCUUGCCACCUAUAGACUCAGUUUUCACUGGUCCAAAAAGGUCGAUAUGCAGAAGUUCCAACGCCCUUGAGGUUGAGACAACAUUCUUUGUCUUGAAAGGGACUUUUGUGAAUUUGCCUUUCUGACAUGCUUCACAAAGAGCGUCUGAAGCGAACUUCAGAUUGGGUAAGCCCCUGACAAGGUUUAGCUUGCUCAGCUGAGAAAUCUUUCUCAUACUGGCAUGCCCUAACCGUCUAUGUCAUACCCACUGCUCUUCAUUAACAGACAGAAGGCACUUCACAUUCUGAGCCUCCAACUCAGAUAAUCUGAUCUUAUAGAUGUUGUUCUUCCUCUUGCUGUUAAAUAGAACAGAGCCAUCGAUCUGACUUACAGCCCGGCAGGACUUUUGAUUGAAUAUAACAUCAUAACCCUUGUCAGCUAAUUGACUUAUAGACAAUAAGUUAUGUGUUAAGCCGUCUACCAAUAAAACAUUAUCAAUGCAUGGGCUACUAUCUACACAAAUAGUACCAGUACCAACAAUUUUACCCUUUUCAUUUCCUCCGAAGCCAACUUCGCCUCCAGGCUUAAGUUUCAGCUCUCGGAACAUACGCUUUUCUCCCGUCAUGUGACGCGAGCAUCCACUGUCCAGAUACCAUGAUUGGUGUUUCAGUGGAGCUAUCAAGGAUAUCUGCAACAUAGAUAAUCUUGUCCUUAGGUACCCACUUUCUGGGUCCUCUUUUGUUAGUUACCCCAGAGGUUCUGAUCACCUUGGGUGUCUCAACAUAAUAUUUUAAAGGAAUAUUUGCAUGAUAUUUAGUCAUAGAGAAAGAUCCCUUUUUAAGAGGAUGUUUAGCAACUUUAGCAGGUACAGGAUCAGGCAAUAUGGUACAAGAGGGAACAAAGCAUUCAUACAAGGAUUUAGCUUUAGACACAGAAGGCUCAUUUCUAAUUGGUUUAGAAUAGCCAAUGCCAUGCAUUCCAUUUCUGCUUACGCCAUAGAUCAUUGAAGCCAUUAAGCUUCUAUCCACGCUUUUAGCUAGGAAUCUUUGAAAAGACUUUUCAUACUUAGAUUCAUUCCUACAAUCAGAGGCAUCACAGGCAACAAUUUCUUCUAACUUAGCAAUCUGGUUCUUAAGCACAGAGUUAGAAUUUACCAAAGCAUGAUUUUCAUUUUUCAAAUCAGAAAUAAUUUUCUCAUGUUCAGAAGGAGUCUUGGAGACAGCAGAUAAGUUCUUUUUCAACUUUUUAUGCUUAGACAAUAAAGAGUUAUACUUAUCCAUGAUAUCAGACAAAGCAUGUUUCAGUUCAGAGGUAGAGAAAGAAGCAAAUACCUCAUUUUCAUCGUCUGAGUUAGGAUCUCCUUCUGAUUCUGAGUCAGAGUCAACAGCUCAGCCGUCGGAAACGAUAUGGUGGCAGGUCAGCAGGAACAGAUGCCGCCGCUCGCUCACUUGCAGCAAGCUGGCCCGCACCAGCGGCCCCCGUUCCAGAUCGAACGGCGCUUUCAUCGCCGUCUCGGCCAGCGCGUGCAAACGUUGCUCCGCAUGACGCUCGCCGCACAAGUCGUGAUGUGCCAGCGGCAUGGCCGCCUCCGGUAAGAUCCGCACCUGGGGUUGCCCAUCCUGGCAAACAAACACGCUGCGCAAGGCUUCGUGGCGGGCAUACAGCGCGUCGGACGAAUUCGUAAUCAGGUCAUAGCNNNNNNNNNNNNNNNNNNNNNNNNNNNNNNNNNNNNNNNNNNNNNNNNNNNNNNNNNNNNNNNNNNNNNNNNNNNNNNNNNNNNNNNNNNNNNNNNNNNNAGCUAUCACCAUGAUUACGAAUUCGUCAUGUAUGAUGUAAACGCAAAAAGAUUAUGAAUAAAACGAGUUUAGCAAACAUAUGUGACACAAGUAUAUAGAUAUGCAUAUAUAGGCACAAGCGAAUAAAAUAGAAUAAGUAAAUAAAAAGAAACAGAGUUUAAUCAAAAGAAAAACAAAGUUAACGAAGAAGAAAAAGAAGAGAUCCUAAAACUAAGGUUUGACAGUGCGUCGCAGAAGUUCCAUCAUCAUUUGCUUCAUCUCAAUCAGCAUGGAUUCAUGAGUGUCAAGACGUUGUUCCAUGAUGUCGAGUCUGGAUGAGCUUGGCUGAGUAGAACUGGAAGGAACAUUCUGAGCAGCUUGAGGAUCUGGAAUUGAAGCAGAAGCAGCAGGAGUAAACACAACUGGUGCAAGUGCUUGGCAUCUAAGAGCUUCAGCCUCAGCUUCAAGUCGCUCUGCCUCAAGUCUGGCUUGUUCAGCUUGAGCUGCUGCAAGACGCGCAGCUUCUUCUGCUUGAACCUUCUUUCUCUUGGCUUCUUCAAUGGCUUCAAGAAGCUUGUUUCUCUGUUCUUGUUCAUGAAGAGCCACCCUUCUAGCAAACCUUUGCCUUGCAGCCUCAAUGCUCUGACUUCCCUCUGCAUGCAGGAGCUGCAUCAUAAUUGGAACUUGAGCCACUAGCCAAGUGCUCAGAUUGUUCCACUCAUCAGCCACACUUUCAGCAUUCUCACUGAGGUCAGUCUGACCGUGCACAUUGCGGAGCCUCAAGGAGGCUUCAUGAUAGAAAAUAUUGACGCACUCAGAGAGAGAUGUGGGUUGAAGGUGAGUAUAGGGAAUUAUGCAGAGGUUGGUUUCAGGAGAGACUGGGUGAUUGCUGCUAUGAGCUUCAGAGACACCUUGUGGAGAACCAAUGUUAAUCAUAGGAGCAUUGGGUUCAGAGGUUCCAAGGUGGGGGUCUGAAGUUUCAACUAGAGGAUGAGGUGAUCUAACCGAGGAUUGGUUAGACACUGAAUGUUCGGGUUCAGGUUCUGGUUGAAUAGGCUCUUGUUGGUCAGGGACAUGGUGAACUUGUUGAACCAAGGGGUCUGCCUCUUGUAAAGGAUUAGCCAAGAUAGGUUCAUCUGGGUCUACUAGACGUUCAGGUCUAGGGCCAGGAUAUCUCCUAGGGCUUGGACAGGUUAGGUAAUAUUCUUCCAAGGCAGACACCUUUUCUUUUCUAACCUCCAUGAAUUUUCUAAUGGAUUCAGAGUUGUUGGAGGGAGAAGAAUCAGCAACAUUGAUUGGGAAGGAUACAGGUGUAAAGGCUGUUGAAGAGUCGGUAUCCGUGGUUCUGGCAGCAGGAUGUUCUGAUGCUCUGGGAGCAGAGUGAUCAGACGUUCUGGGUUGUGGUUCUGUUUGGUUUGGCUCGGGUUGGUCAUGGAUGAUUGGUUCAGAGGAUAAUGGGUCGUACGGAAUGGUGAGGAGAGAGGUUGGUUCUUCUGACCUAGAAGGUUGGUUCUGAAGCAAGUUCCAGAGAGGUGCUUCAGUAGGAGAAGGUUGAAAGAAGGAAGAUCUUGGGGAAUGUGGUGGAGUGGUGGUUUGUGCGGCUGGCUGGGAUUCAGGAAUAGGAGUGAGGGGAUUGGAGGAGUGUUUGAGCAUAGCAGAAAUAGGGAGUGCAUCAAAUAAAUUCAAAUCAUCAUCAGAGGCAAGUGCAGGCUUACUUGAAUGUGCUGAUGAUCGAGUCACUCUGGCAGGAGGUUCAGUCCUUCUGACCAUUUCAGCAGCUGGUUCCACCCGAGUAGGCUUCACCACGAUUCUGACCUUCUUCUUCUUCUUCUUUGGAGGACCAUCCUCACUAUCAUCACCAUCAUCAGGCUUUCUCUUUGUCUUCUUGACCAGAGGGACAUCAGAUUCCUCAGAAGAUUCGUCCAGAACCAUCUUCCUCUGAGCUUUCCUCUUGGGAGGAGAAGGAAACUCUGGAGCUGGUGGUAGUCUGCUGACGAAAUCAUCAAGGUCAAUUUCGAAACCUUGAGCCCUGAGAUCUUCAACAUAGCAUCUGAUGGCGUCAGGAUUGUCCGCUUGUGUCCACAGAGGGUAGUCAUUCAGAGGCAUUCUUCUUCCUCUGAUCUCAGAAGAUGUGUCUUCAUGAGCAGGAGCAAUCUUCUUCUGGACCAAACCCAUCUUCUUCAGAGAAUUUGCAGUGAAGACAUCACUAACAAUGGUGCUCAAAUCCUCUGUGCAACCAGCAUUGAUCAAAUCUUGCACCAAGUUGCUUUCAAUGAGAAAGUCUGAGAGCAGCCUCCCAAAAGGGAUAUAUUUGAUUGCAGACUUGAUGGAGGCGGUGGUGCGAGACUUCCGGAUGCAUUCCUUCAAGUAGGAGAACAGGAAGUAGGGAAGGCAGAUCUUCUCCUGAUUUUGGAUGAAGAACAACAUCGCCAUCUGGUUGAAGUUGAUGUAGUCUGGGGAACUGCCCUUCGGUCUCUGGUUUAUGCAGUUGAGCAGGAUCUUGUGCCAGAUCCUGAGUUUGGGGUGAAGAUCCAUCACCUUGUAACUCGUCUUGCCCGGUUUGAAGGUGGUGUACAGAGCCUGGUUGACUAUGUCCUUGGUGCUGGGUUUCAGCUUCGAUUCCGUCAGUUGGAACCGAUACCCAUAAGCAGUUUCUGCACCUAGCAGAUUCACGAAUGACUUCUCCGUGAUGAUGAUCUUUUCUGCCAAGAAUGGUGAGAGGACCACUUGAGUAUCAUUCGCAGUUCGGCGUGCUUCCAGAAUUCCUUUACCCAAUCCUAUUCAUACACCCGGGUCCUCCGAAAUUCUGUUGAAAGUAAUUUCUCCCCACCCCUUGAAGCUUGGACCUUCAGGACCAAAAAAUCAAACCCCUUUNNNNNNNNNNNNNNNNNNNNNNNNNNNNNNNNNNNNNNNNNNNNNNNNNNNNNNNNNNNNNNNNNNNNNNNNNNNNNNNNNNNNNNNNNNNNNNNNNNNNGCCGUCAUGACGUCUCAGCUUCAAAGCCCACUGAGCGAUGCGGGUGGCGGUCCAGGCGGCAAUCCAGACCUCUUCUCCACGGUACUCACAGUCUCUGCUACAGUCGCAAACACUGGACCAGUAGACGGCUCUACCGUGGUACACUCGCUGCUGUUGAGCGCCUGUGGCGGCAGCGACGGUUCGUCCGCAGCCGCUCCGACCAAGAACGUGCUGUUCGUGACGCGAGCAUCCACUGUCCAGAUACCAUGAUUGGUGUUUCAGUGGAGCUAUCAAGGAUAUCUGCAACAUAGAUAAUCUUGUCCUUAGGUACCCACUUUCUGGGUCCUCUUUUGUUAGUUACCCCAGAGGUUCUGAUCACCUUGGGUGUCUCAACAUAAUAUUUUAAAGGAAUAUUUGCAUGAUAUUUAGUCAUAGAGAAAGAUCCCUUUUUAAGAGGAUGUUUAGCAACUUUAGCAGGUACAGGAUCAGGCAAUAUGGUACAAGAGGGAACAAAGCAUUCAUACAAGGAUUUAGCUUUAGACACAGAAGGCUCAUUUCUAAUUGGUUUAGAAUAGCCAAUGCCAUGCAUUCCAUUUCUGCUUACGCCAUAGAUCAUUGAAGCCAUUAAGCUUCUAUCCACGCUUUUAGCUAGGAAUCUUUGAAAAGACUUUUCAUACUUAGAUUCAUUCCUACAAUCAGAGGCAUCACAGGCAACAAUUUCUUCUAACUUAGCAAUCUGGUUCUUAAGCACAGAGUUAGAAUUUACCAAAGCAUGAUUUUCAUUUUUCAAAUCAGAAAUAAUUUUCUCAUGUUCAGAAGGAGUCUUGGAGACAGCAGAUAAGUUCUUUUUCAACUUUUUAUGCUUAGACAAUAAAGAGUUAUACUUAUCCAUGAUAUCAGACAAAGCAUGUUUCAGUUCAGAGGUAGAGAAAGAAGCAAAUACCUCAUUUUCAUCGUCUGAGUUAGGAUCUCCUUCUGAUUCUGAGUCAGAGUCAACAGCUUCCUUUGACUCUGCUCCUUUGUCUUUGACAAUGGCCAUGAGUCCUUGGACUUCACCAUCAGAGUCAACAUCCUCUGACUCUGAUUCAUCGAAUGUCACCAUCAGACUCUUCUUGGCCUUGAAGUGCUUCUUUGGCUUCUUGUCUUUCUUCAACUUUGGACAAUCACUUUUGUAGUGCCCAGAUUCUUUGCACUCAAAACAUGUGACUUCCUUGAUUGAAGGCUUCUUCUGGCCUGAGGACUCAUACUUUCCUUUUGCCUUUCCAGAGCCUUUGAACUGGCUCUGCCUGUGCUUCCAGAUGCGGUUGAGUCUCUUGGAGAUCAGAGUCAGCUCAUCUUCAUCAGAAUCUUCUGAUGCUUCUUCAGAUUCUUCUUCUUCAGCUUGAAGAGCCUUUGACUUCUCAACCUUAGCCUUUUCAGAUUUGGAUUUCAAGGCUAUGGACUUUUUCCUCAGAUCUUGCAUCUCUGAGCGCUUCAGCUGAUGGCAUUUCAAAAUGCUGAUGAGUUCUUCUAAACUCAUAUUCUCAACGUCUCUCGUGAGCUCUAUUGAAGUCACCAAGGGCAUCCAACUUUCAGGAAGACACCUGAUGACCCUUAUGACAUGAUCUUUUGUUGUGUAGCUCUUGUUGAGAGGUCGUAUGCCAGCUACAAGCAAUUGAAAUCUGGAGAACAUUUCUUCAAUGGAUUCAUUUGGCUCCAUGAUGAAGGAUUCAUACUUUUGGAUCAAAGACAAUGCCUUUGAUUCUUUGACUUUCUUGUUUCCUUCAUGAGACAUCUUCAGAGAUUCAAAAAUGCCUUUAGCAAACUCACGAUCUGUAAUCUUCUGGUACUCUUCAUANNNNNNNNNNNNNNNNNNNNNNNNNNNNNNNNNNNNNNNNNNNNNNNNNNNNNNNNNNNNNNNNNNNNNNNNNNNNNNNNNNNNNNNNNNNNNNNNNNNNUUCUGACAAAGGCAAAGCUCCAGAGGAAGUUGAGCCAGAGGAAGAUGAACCAGAGGAAGAAGCUGGUCCCUCUAACUCACAAACUCUGAAGAAGAGCAGAAUCACUGCAGCUCACCCUAAGGAAUUGAUUCUAGGCAACAAAGACGAACCAGUCAGAACCAGAUCUGCCUUCAGACCCUCUGAAGAGACCUUGCUGAGUCUGAAAGGAUUGGUGUCCUUAAUUGAACCCAAGUCCAUAGAUGAAGCUCUUCACGACAAGGAUUGGAUUCUGGCCAUGGAAGAAGAAUUGAAUCAAUUUUCCAAGAACGAUGUUUGGAGCUUAGUGAAGAAGCCUGAGAGUGUCCAUGUUAUUGGAACGAAAUGGGUAUUCAGAAACAAGCUGAAUGAGAAAGGAGAUGUAGUCAGAAAUAAGGCAAGGCUAGUUGCUCAAGGCUACAGCCAGCAGGAAGGAAUAGACUACACUGAAACAUUUGCUCCAGUAGCAAGACUGGAAGCAAUCAGACUGUUGAUCUCUUUCUCAGUAAAUCACAACAUAGUUCUACAUCAGAUGGACGUAAAGAGUGCCUUCCUAAAUGGUUAUAUCUCAGAGGAAGUCUAUGUUCAUCAACCCCCAGGUUUUGAAGAUGAAAAGAAACCAGACCAUGUGUUCAAAUUGAAGAAAUCACUCUACGGUCUGAAGCAAGCUCCCAGAGCAUGGUAUGAGAGACUUAGCUCAUUCCUUCUGGAGAAUGAGUUUGUAAGGGGUAAAGUAGAUACAACUCUUUUUUGCAAGACUUAUAAAGAUGAUAUCUUAUUGUGCAAAUCUAUGUUGAUGAUAUUAUAUUUGGUUCUGCUAAUCAAUCUCUAUGCAAAGAAUUUUCUGAGAUGAUGCAGGCUGAAUUUGAGAUGAGUAUGAUGGGAGAAUUAAAGUACUUUCUGGGAAUACAAGUUGAUCAAACACCAGAAGGAACAUAUAUCCAUCAGAGCAAGUACACUAAAGAACUUCUGAAGAAGUUCAAUAUGCUGGAAUCUACAGUGGCCAAGACUCCAAUGCAUCCUACAUGCAUUCUGGAGAAAGAAGAUAAAAGUGGUAAAGUAUGUCAGAAGCUCUAUCGUGGCAUGAUAGGUUCACUUCUAUACUUAACUGCAUCUAGGCCAGACAUAUUAUUUAGUGUUCAUUUAUGUGCUCGAUUCCAAUCAGAUCCAAGGGAAACCCACUUAACUGCUGUUAAGAGGAUCCUAAGGUAUCUGAAAGGUACCACUAACCUUGGCUUGAUGUAUAAGAAAACAUCAGAGUAUAAGCUUUCAGGUUAUUGUGAUGCUGAUUAUGCUGGAGAUAGAACAGAGAGAAAAAGUACUUCCGGAAAUUGUCAAUUUCUGGGAAGCAAUCUAGUCUCAUGGGCAAGCAAGAGGCAAUCAACCAUUGCACUAUCAACUGCAGAGGCAGAAUAUAUCUCGGCGGCNNNNNNNNNNNNNNNNNNNNNNNNNNNNNNNNNNNNNNNNNNNNNNNNNNNNNNNNNNNNNNNNNNNNNNNNNNNNNNNNNNNNNNNNNNNNNNNNNNNNUGUUCGAUUCCCUGGGUUGCAUUUUUUGGAUCUCAUCCUUUGUUAGAAUACUAAUGAUUCUUGUAACAGAUAAACCACCUUAUUAUUCUACCUUUGAGGACUUUAAUCAAAAAAGAAUUCUUACAGGAGCCUUAACCAAAAUCGCUAAAAUUUAGAUGGACCAAAAACAUAUUUAACAGAAAAUAAAAUAGACUAAUCAUCAAUAGAUCUUCAUUAACAAUUCAAGCAUCUUUGAUAAAUAUUAGUAUUUAUUUUCUAUACUAAAGAGCACUCACUCCCUCUUUCUAAAAAGUUUGUUGCAUGUGUGGACAUUCCCGGGUGUGAAGUUACUUGAAAUAUUGAAAGCGCUAGAUAAUGAUAAAAACAUGAAUAAAUCUUAAUUACAUGUUUGGUUAUUUAGUAUGGAUUAAAAAACUUAAUUAGAUCGAUGCUAGAUAUGUGUACGAGGGUUUAGUGCAAUUUAUUUUUCUUUCUCUUUUCUUACAAUGAUCUCCGCCUCCGUAUAGUAAGGCGGGUGCAUCCUUGCCAUUCACAACGGACAUAAAAACAUACAACAUAACUAAAAAGCUAGUCAAAAGUAAAAUUUCCAAGAAAAACCAGAAAACCACCUCAGCACCACACAAGUAACUUCAAAGAGCAAACAAACCUCAUUUUUCUCCUUGAAAUGUUUAAGACGACACUCUCUUUUUAUCAUCAUGUUCAGCCAGACCUCACCGGAAGUCGGUCAUAGAUGGGCCGUCGCUGCCGCCUCAGCUUUCGCAGCCGCCUACGCCUUGUGGUUUACUCGGCACUCCCCAGCGCCCGCCUCUGUAUCGUAAAGGUUUUUGCAUCCUUGCCAUCCGCACCAUAAAUAAACCAUUUGCAUGCAAGGUAGACGAGAGUAAGAGGGAGAGGGGGAAGGUGAGAAGGGAAAGUAAAUAGAUGAGUUAGGUUUGAACCUUGAGAGAUAUGAGAGGAAGGAUCAACUAGAGUGAGGGUAAGAGAGUAACGUGAUUCUCAAUUUUUUACAAAUCCUCAAUACUACAAAACUCCUUCCUUUAAAAUAUCAAUUUUCACAAUACUAGUGAGAGUGAGUCUGAAAAGCUUGUUUGAUGAGACUGAUAUGAUUUGAUAAAAUAGUGACAUAUAUGGGAGGUACAAGGCAAGGCACGUGAGAGGACACACGUGUUUUUGUUUGUGCGUGUGAGAGAGUGUGCGAGUGAGGUGCGAGUGAAGUGAGAGAGAGUGAGUGAGUGCGUGUGAAGUAUAUGUUCGACUAUUUAUUAUGGAUUUAAAAACUUAAUUAGAUAGGGGCUAUAUAUGUGUAUGCGUCUAUGAGGUGCAAUUUCAUAGGGGCUAUAUAUGUGUAUGCGUCUAUGAGGUGCAAUUUCUUUUUUCUUUCUAUUUUCUUACAGUAAUGAUCUGGCGAGGCGUGAUUCUUGCUCCUCAAGACACAACAUAGAGAUACCCUCUGAAUUCAUUGCAGAAAGAACGAAUGAGAGGUUAGUGUGUCAGAGUGAGGGAAUGAGUUUUUGAGAGCAUUCACUCUCUCUAUCUAAAAAGUUUGUUGCAUUAAAGCAAAUGUGAAUUUGGGAAUAAAUUCCCAUAAUGAAAUUACGGUCAUGUCCUUAACUCUCUAACUAAAUUGGAAUCUCCAUAUUUGACAAUUUUGUUGUUUGUCGCGUUCGAUUCAUCAAAUCUAAUCCGUUGAAAUGAGGAUCAGACAGGCUCAGCAGGGUAGGGAGAGGCUCGCCUCCAAUGGCUGAACUAGAGCCAGCAUGAGCAAACAGAGUCAAAGGGCGGUUAAUCAUCGCAUUUGGAUCUCCCCGGGUGGCGGGACAUUAUCAUGUCCCUUCUUUUUCUCUACCGGUUUACCUCUUGAGGCCAAACCGGAUUGAUUUAGAGUCGUCUGGUGCAAGGGUUUGUCACCAGCAAUUUUUUCAGUGGCGCCUAAAGUUUUCUGGCGCUUAGGAUCCCUGAUGUUGUCUGAAUCUGAAGUACCUUCAAGUUUUUUCUUCUGCUCAGCAUCAGCAGCUCUUUUUCUCGCCGCCUCAGCAGAUUGGGCGAGAUAUUCUUUCAUCUUCAAAGGACUGGCGUCGACCUUCCCUUUACCCAUCGUGGCUACACAGGAAAGCAUUACAGUUAGAAGUGAGGCAUGAAUGAAAAAGCAAGUUAUGUGUAGAGAUCAUUAACUUAAUAAAAAAUUGAUUUAAGGUGCCAGUUUUUGACGCCUCAAUCAACUCAUGACCAGAGAAUACCGGCAAUGAACGAAGAUAAUCGGCAACCCCUCGCUCAGAAUCGUCUAAGGCGUCAUAUGAAACGGAGAUUUUUCGGCGAGGAUAUUUUGUCCAGUAAAAGGGGAAGAGAGGACAAUUGUUGGAAUCCCGGAACAAGUUCUUUAUUUCAGGCGACUCAAUUACUUUAAAAUACUUUCUCUGCCACACUUUUUAAUGGCUCUUAAGAGCAGUAAACCGGCGCAUUUUCUUGCGGGCUAGAAGAGGAACCCACUUCACGGAAGUAGGUUUCUUAGUAACAGAUUUAUAGAAAAGAAAAAAACAAAUGAUAGGUGGGCGUGAAGCUCAAAUAAUCACAUAGGAUUUCGAAGCAACGGAUAAAGCCCCAGGCGUUGGGUUGGAGUUGGCAAGGCGCCACAUUCAGAAAGGACAAAACAUGACAUAUGAAAGGGAAAAAGGAAGUUNNNNNNNNNNNNNNNNNNNNNNNNNNNNNNNNNNNNNNNNNNNNNNNNNNNNNNNNNNNNNNNNNNNNNNNNNNNNNNNNNNNNNNNNNNNNNNNNNNNNAGAGAGAACCUUACGGGACUGAGAGUGAUAUUAUCAGGACAGAAAUCUGUGGUCUCAUUCUAUCUAGCACUAGUCUGAAGAUUGCAAUCUUAAGUGAAGUUUGUAUGAAACGUAUUCAAACCCCCCUUCUACGUUUUUCAACUUCACAAGUUUUUUACUUUUGCCAUCCUUCAACCUCCACCGGAAUAGUGAAACUUCCGGGGUCUCUUCUUUUCAUUGGCAUCUUACGCUGCAAGAUAGCACUACACUCUUCUGUCAACAUUACCGUCUCAUCAACCCCCUUUAAACUCCUCCUCUUAGACAAGAUAUCCCUCAUGAACCUAGCAUACAUGGGCACUGGCUCCAAUGCAUCGGCAAAAGGGAUAUUAACGUGGAGUUUCUUGAAGACCUCCGCAAACUUUGAGAACUUCUUGCCUAUGUUUUUCUUAGUCAAGGCCUUAGGAAAAGGGACCUUGCUAACCUUAGGAAUGGGGUCUAUAACUUCCUUAGUCUUGAUGGGUACUUCUCCCUCAACUAUCUCCUCAAUUUGUUCACCCUUUGUUUUUUUCUUCAAUUCACUCAUCACCCUACCACUUCGAGUAGUCACUACAAAGGCAUUCUCCUGUUUGGGAUUGGGGAUAGUAUCGGAAGGAAACUUACCUUGAGGUCUUUCGGCUAUUUGCUUGGCCAGCUGGCCAAAUUGAUUCUCUAAGUUCUUAAUAGCUGCUUCUUAAUUUUUGUAAUUAUUCUCCGUUCGGUUGAUGAAAAUCUCCACCAACUCCUCUAAGCUUUUCUUGGAACCGCCACUUUCACCUUCUACUCUCUCUUGUGGCUGCCUUGAGCCUUGGCCUUGGAAACCUUGGCUAGGAAAUUUCCUUUGAAAGCCACUUCCUUGCCCAUUGUUACCUUGCCUCCAAGAGAAAUUAGGGUGAUUCCUCCAUCCUGGAUUGUAAGUAUUUGAAAAUGGGUCAUUCCGAGCUUGACCCAUGGCCUUCACUUCCUCCUCCGGUCUAGUCUCUGUGCAUUCCUCGCUGUAAUGUGGUCCUCCACAAGUCACACACUCCAAUUUGGCAACUCGACCACCAAUCUUGGUAGUCUUCAUUUGAUUUUGAAUCUCAUUCAUUUAAUUGGAGAGUUGCUUGUUGGAGGCCAUGAGUUGAUCAUAAGCCUCAACCUCUAGGACCCCUCUUCGGGCUUGGCGUUCAUUACUUGAGUUCAUGGCCCUUAUAGCCAUUUUUUCAAUCAACUCGUACCCCACUUGUGGAAGUAAGGCAUCGAACUCACCGUUUGAAGCCGCAUCCAAGCCAAACCUCGAAGAAUAUUGGAGACCAUCAUAGAACUUUGCUACUUGUUCCGCUUGGGUGAGGUUAUGUUGAGGACACCUCCUCAAGAGCUUUUUGAACCUUACCCAAGCUUCAUAGAUAUUUUCAUCGGUGGAUUGAGNCAAAGUAAUGAUGUGAUUCUUGAGCUUUCUCAGAGGGCUCUUGGAACAAACCUUGUUGGUGAUUUCUCAGCCAAGUCCUCCCAGAUGNUAUGCUACCUUGGGGCUGUGAAUUUCACACUCUUCAGCAGUAUCCCUCAACNNNNNNNNNNNNNNNNNNNNNNNNNNNNNNNNNNNNNNNNNNNNNNNNNNNNNNNNNNNNNNNNNNNNNNNNNNNNNNNNNNNNNNNNNNNNNNNNNNNNAUUUCAUGUAAAUAUUUAGCUAUAAUAAUUUGAGAAUAUAUUUAUUAUACAAAUGAACUUAAUUUUAUAUUUAUUGAAAUGUCUUGACAUAAUUUUUUUUAUAUUUAUAAGUGAAAAAAUAUUUUUUAAAUUUUUAAAUUUAUAUUUAAACCUAAUAAAUAUAAUUUUUUUUAAAUAAUAAAAGGUUUUAAAACCAAAUAUUUUUUUAAGAUGUUAAAGGCCCUUGUGUGCCAUUCGGCCACCAAUGGUAAUUGAAAUAUAAAUAGGUAUUGUUUUUUAUAACUUCACCACUUCCGGAGCCAAUAAGGUAGAUCUUUUGAAUGGACCUGAUCUCUUCAUUUUCUUGUGUUUCAGGCCCAACUUAGUAUCAGGGCCUCAGUUUGGUCUGCAUAUAUAAUUGAGGCUGAAGGGACAAAAUUAAAAGUCCAUCUAAACAGCUCAAGUGGUUAAAGAGUGUUGGACCAAAAAAUAAAGAGUGUUGGAGAGAGCCAAUGUGCAAUGACAUCAAGAAAACUAGACAUCAUGAGCAUGUCUGUUUGAAGUUUUCAAAACAGUUUUCAGUCCUGUUUGGUACGAUCUGUUUUAAAAAAUUAUUUUUGAAAACAGUUCUCAUUUUCAGUUUUUAAAACUAAAAAACUAAAACAAGUAAAAGAUAUUUUCAGUUUCUGUUUUUAGUUUUCAGAUAUCAGUUUUCUAAAUGUUUAAAAACAUGUCAUUCAAACUGUUUUUUCUUAUGAAAACUGUUCUUAAAAAUUAUUUCUAAAAACUGUUUUAAAAACUGAAAAUGAAAACUGUAAUCAAACAUGCCACAUAUUUUUAUUUAAAAUCUUAGUAUUGAGUGUAUGAGUCACAUCACAUCUUAUAAAACAUCAACUAUAUUCAUAUUUAAUUAAUGUGAGACUUCAACUCACAUUUGAAUUCUCAGCAAUGAGCUGACGUAGGUUGUAGGGGUCGACAAAAUGAAAAGAUGAAUUGGACUCGUGAUAUUCACAUGAGUCGUUAUACAUGAAUAUAUCGACACUCUGAUGACAUCUUAAUUUGUGACAAUUUUUAACUGUACAACUUGGAUGCAUUGCAAGAAACAUACGAAACAAAACUAUGGCUCUUUUAAACCUCGACCAAAAAAGUGCGUGUAUGUUUUUGCAUGAACCACAUUUUGGUGGCAAUUUUCACCACUGUGCCACAAACCCCCUAAAAAAUCAUGGUGGUCGGCCUUUAGAAUGGUGGGGGAAAAAUUCCUCCCUAAUGUCCCUAAGUGAAAAUACCUUUUUUGGGUUCACCCCUUAUCCCCAAAAAAAAAGGAAAAANNNNNNNNNNNNNNNNNNNNNNNNNNNNNNNNNNNNNNNNNNNNNNNNNNNNNNNNNNNNNNNNNNNNNNNNNNNNNNNNNNNNNNNNNNNNNNNNNNNNCAGUUGCUUAGCACGGUGUUGGGUAUGGAGGUGAGGGAAAAAGGGAAACGGUUGAGGAGGAUGGGAGGGAGAGAAGGAAGAGCCGAGGAGCAGGGUUCGCCAUCGGAGAAGUGGUGGGGCAGUGCCGGCGAAGGUGCCGCCGGAAAUGGAUGAUAAUUAUGGACCCAAAAAAAGAAAUUUAUCAGUAAAGUCUAAGCUUUUUCCUCAAUUUUUAUUUUGAUUUAUAUUCAGUUUGAGUGUUAUUAGGGUUGAAGUGAAAUAUUUGGUGAGAAAGAUCAAACACAGAAAAGAAAGAGAGAGGAACGCAAGGUAGGGAGGGAGAGAGAGAAAAAACCCAGAAGAAAAAGGAUGGGUUGUUGCUUGUUGAUGAUGGUAAGGAUAUUUUAGUAAAUUCAGACUUCUACUAAAAUUAAUCUCAACCAUUCAAUUUUAUAUUAUUUUAUCCAAUGGCUAUUUUUCAACUGCACCACCAUGAGACAGUUUUUAACUGUACCACCGAAGCCAACACCCUAGAGAACUGAGGAAGACAUUGUUUUUAUUCAUUUACUUUGUUACCCUUGUACUUUUGUACACUUGCGAUAUGUGAUGGAUAAAAUAGUAAACUUGAAAUAAAGUUGCAGCUUCGCGUGAUACUAGAGAACACAACUGAACAAGUAGCCACUUCACUUCACAUACUAGAUAUCAUACCCGUGCAUCGCACGGGCUUACUUAAAAUAUUAUUUAAUAUUAUAUAAAAAUUAUAAUAGUUAAAUAAUUAAAAUUAAAAUAUUUUUCACUAUAAAUAUAAAAAAAUUAUGUCAAGACAUUUCAAUAAAUAUUAUUAUAGUUCGUUUUGUAUAAAUAAUUAAUAUUACUCAAAUUUAAUUAUUAGCAUAAAAUAAUUUUAACAAUGAAAAUUUUAUUUAUUUAAUAAUAUGAAAAAUUAUUAAGUUAAUUUGAAAUAUUUAAAAUACUAAAAAAAUGUUAAGUAGUAAGUGUUUAAUGUCAUGAAAUAAGUUUUAAUAUCAUUUUUUAUAUUUUUUACCUGGAAAAGUCAUUUGGUGUGACAUGUCAAGACCAAGAAGAAUAAAUUAAUUUUAACUUUUUGAAUUAUAAUAAGUGAUAGCUUAAAUAACCUUUUUACAAAAAAAAGCCCAAAAUAUUAUCUUGUGAAUAUAAUUUUUUUCAGCUUAUUUGGUUUGAGAGUAUUUUCUCACAGCCGAUAGCCAUGAGACUAAUUCCUUAAGGCUCUACGAUCACGUUAAGUGGAUAGACCAGGCCUCUCACAGCAAACAUUUAUUCAACUUUGACCAUUAUUAUUUUCUCUAUUAUGCUUCCUUGAGUAAUUUUUAUUAAUAUAUCAUAGAAAAAAAAACAUAUAUUUUUUUCAAUAAUGCACAUAUAUGUUAUAGUUAAUAUUAAAUACCUUGUAGCAGCAUUUUUCAAUUUUAAAAUAAUUUUAAUUUUUAAUAUUUGUCAAAUGCAAAUAAAUAUUUAUUGUUUUAUGAUUUAAUGUUUUUAAUGUAAUACUCAAGUCUCCUUUACAUUUUUUUUGGUACAUCGAAAAGAUAAAUUGCACUCGCUAAGAAUUGAUUCCUGAACCUCCCCCUAUCCAACUCAUAUGUCCCCAGCUCUUACCACUUGAGCUAUCAUACGGGACCAAAUCUCCUUUACAUAUAAACUCAAAUGCACAUAUUUGUUUUUAAUUGUAUUUUUUGAUUGUAAGAUCUUUAUAAUUUAUAAUUUUUUAUAAAUACAAGAAAUAUAUUAAAUAGAAGAAGAGUCACUAUUUCCUUCACUAUUGUCUUAUAAUUUUAUUUUUUUUAAUUAGUUAAUGGCUUUAAACAUUGCAAUUUUAUUAAGUUUUUAGAGUUGUGGUAUACCACACGAUUUCAAAUUAUAACCUCAUUAUUUUCUAAUAACUGAUGCUUAAAUUUUUUUAGUCGGUUACAUCUCCAUGGAUAUGCAUCUAGUAUAAUUUUUUGCGAGUUCAUUUCAUUGACCUUUCAUUAAAAGAAAAAUGCAAAUACAUCAGAAAACACAAAUAUAUUCUAGGAGUACAUUAUUCAUUGUAUGUUGAUUAUACAUAUUCAUCUAUUUAUUUAUUUAACCAUUAUUUGGGACUUUUCAUUUCUGUGAGUUUCUUAAUCCUUACUCCCUCAUAUGCCAACUUACUAAUGUGGAUUAUUAUGCUUAUAAAAAAAACUAAUGUAGAUUAUUAUUUUAAUUCAAUCUUUGUAUUUAAUACAAUGAUGAAGUCUCUUGUACAUAUACACAUUUAAUGCUUAAAAAAACAUAAGUGUGUUUUACAUAUAUAUAGAUAGAUAUGAAGAUUUUGAUCAAUAACAAGGAGUGGCAUGCAAAGAAAUCUAUUUUUUAAAAGUACAAAUAUGAGUUACAUGUGCAAUUAUUAGAACCAUGAACACUUUUGAUCCCGUUUUAGCAUCUCUUUGCUGGAUGUAUCAUGUAAUAAGAGUUUUCAUUCUAUCUUUUUUCCUUUUUUUUCUUUCUAGUUUUGCUUGGCACAGAGUCAUGUGGACGUACGCACGUAAGUAAGGUUUUAAACAUCCUCUCCAAUCUAAUCCUUCGGAUUCCCAUAUGAAAAAAUAAAAGGUUUAUGAGAAAGAACAGCCAUCAAAUAAUUCAACAUGACCAAAUUCAUCAUUAUUUGAGAUCUCCACUAUGUGUCUCUCUCUCCAAUAAUAAGGAAAGAUGGAUGUACUUCACUAGGAAGCUGCUAUUUCACAUGGCUUCCAUAACGUGGACAGGUGCCAAAUGUGUUUCAGUUUCAGGCAAUAGAAACGGCAGUGCAUGCCACUAAUGCUAUCAUCACUUAAUACUACUUUCUUAAGUCCAACACGCCCACAUGCCUGCAUGUGAAUAUUGUAAGUCUGGAAACUGCAAAAACAAUAAACAAAUUGAAAACUUACCAACAAAUUCCAUUACAGUUGAUAAAUAGCUGAGAUUCUUAAACAUUUAGUCGAAGGGACCCUUAGUUGAAAUGUGUGAUCUCUUAUUAAUGUGUAAGGAAGGUGACAGAAGCCUACCCAAGAGUCUCGAUAAUAUUAAUCUCAUGAUUUCGAGAGUAGGAAUACUUGAUGCACACUAAAAAAAAUUAAGAAUUUAGAUCUCAAAGAAGUGGCAGUUGGUGGGCUCACACCACACCAUGAUUGAUUCAGUGCACUACUUUGCCCCCAUUUACUUGUAGUUGUUGAUUUCCUUUAAUAAUUUAUUCUCUACUCUUGAGGGCAUGCUACUACUUUCAUCUAUUGCAGUUUUGCCUUCUUAUUUAUCUUCUAAUAAGGGAAAAAGAAGAAAACCUUCAUCUAUUGCAGUUUUACCUCAAUCAUUUUUUUUGUACUUUUAUUUUCUUAAGAAAAUCAAUGAACAGUAGAAUUGUCUUAUUUUCAUGUUACUUUCGCCAUGUAACAUGGAAAGAUUCCCUUCUCUAAAUCAUAUUGAAUAAUCAACAUUUAUGGGGGCUAAAACCAUCAGGGGGAAAAAUGGAUAAUGGUUCUGAUAUUCCCAUUUGAAUAUUAUCAUAUUGUUUUUAUUUCACUCUUGUCUCUUCCUUCCUUCUUCUAUACUCUUUUGUUAAAGGGUUUUGAUAUAUUCAUACCCAAAUUUUCUUCCAUCCCAUUUCAACUGGCUUUCACUUUUUAUCACUGUCUUGUUUUUCAAACACAUCUCUCAUAUCUCUUUCUUCUAUACUCAUAACUCUCUUGGUGUAGGUGGAUUUGUGAUGUUAAAUACAAAAAAUUCCUCUGUUUAAGGAUUCCAGUUUGGAUUUUGUUGAGACAAUUACAAGUACAUCCAUGUUCUGGUGGAACCUACCAUUAACCAUAUGUUAGUUGGGCCACUUAUGCAUCAUUUAUGAAUCUUUGUCAUGGUUAGAACUUAGAAGUUACCUUCCAAAUCCGCUGGAAAUUCAACUUUCACAAUCAUAAAACACCCUUAAAGUUAGCUUAAUGAACAUUUUUAAUGAAUGUUUAGGUUCUGGCAUGGUAAGAUGCUUUUAGUUUAGAUACUAUUUAUUAACACCCCAUAAGGAAAAGGCUCUGAAAGCAGCCGUUGUAAAAGCACAUACUUAUAAAGUUCCCUCAACUGUAACUUUUUUUGUCACUUCUACACAUUCCCCCACAACAGGUUGAAUCUCAGUCAUAGAUUGCCAAAUUGAUAUAAUAUAAAUACCUGUGAACUGAUGGAAAAAAAAUGUACUGUUUAAAUAGUUUCAAUUGGGAAAGAAAGUUGAAGUGAAUUAUUUGGAUCUUACAUUCCUUUAUUCUCCAAUCUUCUUAGCAAGAAUUAAUAGAGACUCAAAAUAAACAAAUAGGAGAGAAUCAAUUGUUUUUAAUAAAAAAAGUACAACAACUGCACCAUUAUUCCUCCUUCAAGUUGACAAAGAUAAGUUGAUAACAAACAAAGCAAGAAGUAGAAACUAACACAGUGUAUGAAGGGUCACAUUCUCUCCCAUGUUUUAUGUCGGAGAAACUUCCAAUAAGUCCAAAGCUUUGCUGUCACAACUUUAACAUCACUAUCUUCUAAUCAAAAACCAGUUCAUAAACCUGACAAGACCUUAAAAAUGAUCAAAACUAAUCAAAGGUUUAUAAUUAGACCAACCUUAUCAUAUAUCAAACCACAUUUACAUUCUCAAUUACUACUUCCUCAAAAACUAGAGAUAACACUCUCUGUCAAUAUUGUUCUGUCGACACCCUCAAAUGGUGGACAAUUGAGAGACAGAUCAAGCAAGAACAAAAUGCAGCUGAAACCUCAGUUUUCCUUCUUCUUCUGUUGCAUUUGGUGUUUCUCUUAUGCUGCUUCUGCUAAUGAUGAAGCAUCCACUUUGAUUUCUAUAAAAGCAGGUCUCAGUGAUCCACUGAAUAGUCUUCAUGAUUGGAAAAUGUUGGAUAAAGCACAAGCUCAUUGUAAUUGGACUGGUGUUCAGUGCAAUUCAGCUGGAGCUGUAGAGAAGCUUGAUCUCUCUCACAUGAAUCUGAGUGGAAGCAUCUCCAAUGAGAUACAAAAGCUUAAAAGUCUCACUUCUCUCAACUUGUGCUGCAAUGGAUUUGAGUCAUCGUUGUCAAAAUCCAUAGUCAAUCUCACCUCACUGAAGAGUCUUGAUGUGAGCCAGAAUUUCUUCACAGGUGACUUUCCUUUAGGCCUUGGAAAGGCUUCAGGGCUUGUGACCUUAAAUGCAUCCAGCAACAAUUUCUCUGGUUUUCUUCCUGAGGAUCUUGGAAAUGCCUCUUCCUUGGAGACACUUGAUAUCAGAGGCAGCUUCUUUGAAGGGUCAGUUCCGAAAUCGUUCGCUGGCUUGAGUAAGUUGAAGUUUCUUGGUUUGUCUGGGAAUAAUCUCACUGGGAAGAUCCCAGGAGAGCUGGGAAAACUUUCAUCACUGGAGUAUAUGAUCAUUGGGUACAAUGAGUUUGAAGGUGGGAUUCCAGCAGAGUUUGGAAAUCUCACCAAUUUGAAGUAUCUUGAUUUAGCAGAAGGCAAUCUUGGUGGUGAAAUCCCUUCUGAGUUGGGAAAGCUUAGAGUGUUGGACACAGUUUUCUUCUACAAGAACAAUUUUGAAGGCAAGAUUCCACCAGAGAUUUGCAAUGUGACUUCAUUGGUGCAGCUGGAUCUCUCAGAUAACAUGUUAUCUGGAAAUAUUCCAGCUGCGAUAGGUCAGCUGAAGAAUUUACAACUUCUGAACUUCAUGCGAAACCGGUUAUCCGGUCCCGUGCCUUCUGGCCUUGGGAGCUUGCCUCAGCUAGAGGUGCUUGAGCUCUGGAACAAUUCGUUGUCAGGGUCACUGCCUAGUGAUCUUGGCAAGAAUUCCCCACUGCAGUGGUUGGAUGUAUCAUCCAACUCACUCUCUGGUAAGAUUCCAGAAACUCUUUGCAACAAGGGAAAUCUCACCAAGCUUAUACUUUUCAACAAUGCCUUUUCCAGUCCAAUUCCGGCAAGCCUAUCAACGUGCCCUUCGCUCGUUCGUGUUCGAAUCCAAAACAAUUUUAUAUCCGGGACUAUUCCUGUGGGUUUUGGCAAGCUUGGAUCCGCCCGGGCCUUNNNNNNNNNNNNNNNNNNNNNNNNNNNNNNNNNNNNNNNNNNNNNNNNNNNNNNNNNNNNNNNNNNNNNNNNNNNNNNNNNNNNNNNNNNNNNNNNNNNNNNNNNNNNNNNNNNNNNNNNNNNNNNNNNNNNNNNNNNNNNNNNNNNNNNNNNNNNNNNNNNNNNNNNNNNNNNNNNNNNNNNNNNNNNNNNNNNNNNNNNNNNNNNNNNNNNNNNNNNNNNNNNNNNNNNNNNNNNNNNNNNNNNNNNNNNNNNNNNNNNNNNNNNNNNNNNNNNNNNNNNNNNNNNNNNNNNNNNNNNNNNNNNNNNNNNNNNNNNNNNNNNNNNNNNNNNNNNNNNNNNNNNNNNNNNNNNNNNNNNNNNNNNNNNNNNNNNNNNNNNNNNNNNNNNNNNNNNNNNNNNNNNNNNNNNNNNNNNNNNNNNNNNNNNNNNNNNNNNNNNNNNNNNNNNNNNNNNNNNNNNNNNNNNNNNNNNNNNNNNNNNNNNNNNNNNNNNNNNNNNNNNNNNNNNNNNNNNNNNNNNNNNNNNNNNNNNNNNNNNNNNNNNNNNNNNNNNNNNNNNNNNNNNNNNNNNNNNNNNNNNNNNNNNNNNNNNNNNNNNNNNNNNNNNNNNNNNNNNNNNNNNNNNNNNNNNNNNNNNNNNNNNNNNNNNNNNNNNNNNNNNNNNNNNNNNNNNNNNNNNNNNNNNNNNNNNNNNNNNNNNNNNNNNNNNNNNNNNNNNNNNNNNNNNNNNNNNNNNNNNNNNNNNNNNNNNNNNNNNNNNNNNNNNNNNNNNNNNNNNNNNNNNNNNNNNNNNNNNNNNNNNNNNNNNNNNNNNNNNNNNNNNNNNNNNNNNNNNNNNNNNNNNNNNNNNNNNNNNNNNNNNNNNNNNNNNNNNNNNNNNNNNNNNNNNNNNNNNNNNNNNNNNNNNNNNNNNNNNNNNNNNNNNNNNNNNNNNNNNNNNNNNNNNNNNNNNNNNNNNNNNNNNNNNNNNNNNNNNNNNNNNNNNNNNNNNNNNNNNNAAGCUUCACAACUCGAACAAUUAAAAAAAAAUGGCAUCAUACAUGGAAGCACUUGAAGAGCUCAGAAGGAAGGCCUUUGAGGAGGACUUGUUCCUAAACAUAAGGCAUCCAGAGGGUACAACGACCAUAUCAGAGCUGACGAGGACACUGCUUGAGGAGGACCUUCGUCCAGAGCUAAAGAACGACUUGAAGGAAUUUCUUGCCUUCGUGGAAGAAGUUCAAGAACUCAGCCAGCUUGAGCUGAGGCUACUGGAAGAGAAGGACAUGAUAGAAAGAAAACUCAAGACAACAGAAGAGGUUCUGGAGAGGAGUGAGUUGAUCGUCAAUUUCAACAACAUCCAGUAUUCACUAGAUCGUCUGGAGAGGGAGAGGUCAGAGCAGCGCCAAGAGUGCAGAAGAAUGAGGAAGGAUCCUCCAUUCUAGACUUUAGGGAAAAAAAAAAUGUAUGAUGUAAACAUAAUGAUUAUGAAAUUUUUGCAAACACAAUGUGACAAAUAUAUAUAUAUAUAUAUGCAUAGAUAAUCACAAACGAACAAAGCUGAAUAACUAAAGAAAAAAGAAACAGAAGUUAACCAAAUAGAACAAAGUUAAAAAAAAGGAAAGCGAAGAGAUCCUAAAAUUAGGGUUUAUCAGAUCGACGCAGAAGUUCCAUCAUCAUGUGCUUCAUUUCAAUUAGCAUAGACUCAUGAGUGUCAAGACGCUGUUCCAUGAUGUCGAGUCUGGACGAGCUUGACUGAGUAGAGCUGGAAGGAACAUUCUGAGCAGCUUGAGGAGCUGGAAUGGAAGCAGAAGCAGCAGGAGUAAACACUACUGGUGCAAGUGCUUGGCAUCUAAGGGCUUCAGCUUCAGCUUCAAGUCUUUCUACCUCUAAUCUUUCUUGUUCAGCUUGAGCUGCUGCUUGACGUGCAGCUUCUUAUGCUUGCUCUUGCUUUCUUCUGGUCUCUUCAAUAACUUCAAGGAGCUUGUGUCUUUGUUGUUGUUCAUGAAGAGCUACUCUUCUUGCAAACCUCUGCUUGGCAGCUACUAUCCUCUGAUCCCUUUCAGCAAUAAGAUGACUCAUCAUAGCAGGAACCUGAGCAACUAACCAAGUACUCAAAUUAUUCCAUUCCUCAGCAACAGAGUCAGGAUCCUCACUCAGAUCAGUAUGACCUUUGACGUUGCGAAUCAUCAGUGACGCUUCAUGAUUAAAAACACUGAUGCACUCAGAGAGAGAGGUUGGUCUUAGGUGAGUGUAGGGAAUAAUGGAUAGGUUGGUUUCAGGAGAGGUUGGGUGGUUGCUGCUGUUUGCCUCAGAGACACCUUGAGGAGAACCAAUGUUGAACAUGUGAGCAUUUGGUUCAGAGGUUCCAAGGUGAGGUUCAGAGGUUUCAACCAGAGGAUGUGGUGAUCUAACCGAGGAGUGGUUAGACACAGAGUGGUCUGGCUCUGGUUGAAUUGGCUCUUGAUGGAUAGGGUCAGGUUGAGCUUGUUGAGCUAAAGGAUCUGCCUCAUGUAAAGGGUCAGCCAGGAUAGGUUCAUCUGGGUCAACUAGACGUUCAGGUCUAGGUCCAGGAUAUCUCCUAGGGCUUGGACAUGUGAGGUAAUACUCAGGAAUAGCAGACACUUUUUCUUUCCUAACUUCCAUAAAUUUACGAAUGGAUUCAGAGUUGUUGGAAGGUGAGGAAUCAGCAACAUUGAUGGGGAAUGAUACAGGAGUAUAGGCAGUUAAAGAAUCUGUAUCAGUGGUUCUGGGUUCAGGUUCUGGUUGGACAGGAAUUGUGAGUUCAGGUUCAAGAAUAAUGGGUUCAGAUUCUGGAUUGUAUGGAAUGGUGAUAGGAGAGGUUGGAUUAGAAGGUCCGGUAGGUUAGUUCUGAAGCAUAUUCCAAAGAGGUGCUUCAUUGGGAGAAGGUUGGAAAAAGGAAGACCUUGGUGAGUGGGGUGGAGAAGUGGCUUGUGCAGAUGGUUGGGACUCAGGAAUAGGAGUGAGUGGGUUUAAGGAUCGUUUGAGCAUAGCAGAGAUGGGGAGUGCAUCAAAUGUAUUUAAAUCAUCAUCAGAAUCAACAACAGACUUACUUGAUGAUCGCACUGAUGACCGAGUCACUCUGGAAGGAGUUUCAAUCCUUCUGACCACUUGAGCAGCUGGUUCCACCCUGGUAGGCUUCACCACGAGUCUGACUUGCUUCUUCUUCUUUGGUGGAGGAGGACCACCAUCAUUAUCACCAUCACCACCACCAUCUGGCUUGGUGGUUUCAUCAUGUUUCCUCUUUGGCUGGUCAGUCUUCUUCCUCUUUGUCAGAGGGACAUCAGCUUCCUCAGAGGAUUCUUCUAGGACCAUCUUCCUCUGAACUUUCCUCUUGGGAGGAGAGUCAAACUCUGGAGCUGGCGGCAGUCUUCUGAAUAAAUCAUCUAGAUCAAUUUCAAAGCCUUGAGCCCUUAGGUCUUCAACAUAGCACCUAAUAGCUUCAGGGUUAUCUGCCUGCGUCCACAGAGGGUAGUCGUUCAGAGGCACCCUUCUCUGUCUGAUUUCAGCACAUGUAUCUUCAUGAGCUGCGGAAAUUUUCUUCUGGAUCAGACCCAUCUUCUUCAGAGAAUUGGCAGUGAAGACAUCACUGACAAUAGUGGUCAGAUCCUCUACGCAUCCAGCAUUGACCAGAUCUUGAACAAGGUUGCUCUCAAUGAACAGAUCUGAAAGCAAUCUCCCAAAAGGGAUAUAUUUGAUUGCUGACUUGAUGGUGGCUGUAGUUCUGGACUUCUUGAUACAUUCCUUCAAGUAGGAGAACAGGAAGUAUGGAAGGCAAAUCUUAUGCUUGUCUUGGAUGAAAAACAACAUCGCCUUCUGGCUGAAGUUGAUGUAAUCUGGGGAACUGCCCUUUGGCCUCUAGUUUUAGUGCAGCAGAAUCUUGUGCCAGAUUCUGAGCUUGGGAUGAAGAUCCACCAUCUUGUAAUCAGUCUUGCCCGGUUUGUAUGUGGUGUACAGGGCCUUGUUGGUUUCAUCCUUCGUUUUGGGUUUCAGCUUCGAUUCAGUGAGUUGGAAUCGAUACCCAUGUGCAGUGUCUGCACCCAGCAAAUUCACGAAUGACUUCUCAGUAAUUAUGAUCCUCCUACCAGCAGUGUGGGAGACCACCUGAGUGUCAUCGCAGUCAGCGUGUUUCCAGAAUUCCUUGACCAAUUUGUCAUACACCGGUCCUCGAAGCCUAUUGAAGUAAUUUUCCCAGCCUUGAACAUGGACUUCAGGACGAAGAUCAUACCCAUUUGCAGCAAGAUUGUCGAGGUCGAAUCUCCAUUCUGCCAGUACUUGAAGUUCUUCAGGAGAGAACACACAUUGAACGGUACAGCCCCGUUCUGCAAUCGGAACUAUCUUCCCUUGACCUUGACCUUGAUCAGGAGCUUCAGGACCCAGUUGGCCUGUAGCUUGACCCACUACCAUGUGAGGGAACCUGGUUGCUUCGGCAGCUUCGUUUCUGGUUUGUCUCACCAUCUUGAGCGGUUGAAGGUUUUUGGGUAGAAGAAGAAGAUGAUGAAUAGAGAGCGAGAGAGAGAUCGUGGGUGAGAGAUUUUGAAAAACUGAAGAGAGAGAGAGUAAAACCGAGAGUGUAGGAGAUCGUGUGUGUAUAGUGGGUUUUGACAAAUAAUUGUUGUUGAUUCAAAAAGCAAAUUAAAAUCAACGGUUAAAAAUUAAAGACAUCAUAAUAACAGUAAAUACACAUAUCACACACAGGAGAGAAGCACAUCUACACACGUUAUGACAGACUGUCACACGGGCACAAGGAACUAUGCAUCAGAGAUACUGACACACGUGUUACUGUCUCAGCUUCAGAGUCAGUACCAAUGGGUACGUACACUCUGACGGAGUUACCUUCUGGACUAGACAUCUUCUGAUCAAGAAGUAUCAUAGUCAGAGGUUCUGAUCCAUCUUCACUCUGGACAAAAGUCCAUAUUCAGAUUUUUCAGAAUAAAAUUAAAUCUAUCCUCUGCUAAGGGCUUUGUAAAGAUAUCUGCCCAUUGAUGGUCAGUAUCAACAAACUUCAGAAGAAGUACGCCCUUCUGUACAUAAUCUCUAAUAAAGUGAUACUUUACCUCAAUGUGCUUUGCUCUUGAAUGUAAGAUAGGAUUCUUACUCAAUGAUAUUGCAGCAGUGUUAUCACAAUAGAUUGGGAUAUUGCUCUCAAGGAUCUGAUAAUCCUCCAGCUGAUGUUUCAUCCAGAGCAUCUGAGUGCUGCAUAUUGCUGCUGAGAUAUAUUCUGCCUCUACAGUGGAUAGUGCAAUGGUUGAUUGCCUCUUGCUUGCCCAUGAGACUAGAUUACUUCCCAGAAAUUGACAAUUUCCAGAAGUACUUUUUCUCUUUGUUCUAUCUCCAGCAUAAUCAGCAUCACAAUAACUUGAAAGCUUAUACUCUGAUGUUUUCUUAUAAUCAAGCCAAGGUUAGUGGUGCCUUUCAGAUACCUUAGGAUCCUCUUAACAGCAGUUAAGUGGGUUUCCCUUGGAUCUAAUUGGAAACGAGCACAUAAGUGAACACUAAAUAAUAUAUCUGACCUAGAUGCAGUUAAAUAUAGAUGAGAUCCUAUCAUACCACGAUAAAGCUUCUGACAAACUUUACCACUUGCAUCUUCUUUCUCCAGAAUGCAUGUAGGAUGCAUUGGAGUCUUGGCCACUGUAGAUUCCAGCAUGUUGAACUUUUUCAGAAGUUCUUUAGUGUAUUUGCUCUGAUGGAUAUAUGUUCCUUCUGGUGUUUGAUCAACUUGUAUUCCCAGAAAGUACUUUAGUUCUCCCAUCAUACUCAUCUCAAAUUCAGCCUGCAUCAUCUCAGAAAAUUCUUUGCAUAGAGAUUGAUUAGCAGAGCCAAAUAUUAUAUCAUCAACAUAGAUUUGCAGAAUUAAGAUAUCAUCUCUAUAAGUUUUGCAAAAGAGAGUUGUAUCUACUUUACCCCUUACAAACUCAUUCUCCAGAAGGAAUGAGCUGAGUCUCUCAUACCAUGCUCUGGGAGUUUGCUUCAGACCAUAGAGUGAUUUCUUCAAUUUGAACACAUGGUCUGGUUUCUUCUCAUCUUCAAAACCUGGGGGUUGAUGAACAUAGACUUCCUCUGAAAUAUAACCAUUUAGGAAAGCACUUUUCACAUCCAUCUGAUGAAGAACUAUGUUGUGAUUCACUGAGAAGGAGAUGAACAGUCUGAUUGCUUCUAGUCUUGCUACUGGAGCAAAUGUUUCUGUGUAGUCUAUUCCUUCCUGCUGGCUGUAGCCUUGAGCAACUAGCCUUGCCUUGUUUCUGACUACAUCUCCUUUCUCAUUCAAUUUGUUUCUGAACACCCAUUUCGUUCCAAUUACAUGGACAUUCUCAGGCUUCUUCACUAAGCUCCAAACAUCGUUCUUGGAGAAUUGAUUCAAUUCUUCUUCCAUGGCCUGAAUCCAAUCCUUGUCCUGAAGAGCUUCAUCUAUGGAUUUAGGUUCAAUUAAGGACACCAAUCCUUUCAGACUGAGCAGAGUCUCUUCAGAGGGUCUAAGGCUGAUCUGGUUCUGACUGGUUCAUCUUUGUUGCCCAGAAUCAAUUCCUUAGGGUGAGCUGCAGUGAUUCUGCUCUUCUUCAGAGUUUGUGAAUCAGAGGGACCAGCUUCUUCUUCUGGUUCAUCUUCCUCUGGCUCAGCUUCCUCUGGAGCUUUGCCUUUGUCAGAAACAUUUAUACUUAAAUCUGCAAAUUUCUCAACUAGCUUUGACUGGUAAGAGUCAAGCUUAUCGUCAAAUCUUACAUGAAUAGACUCUUCAAUAGUCUUUGCAUCAGUAUUGUAAAAUCUAAAACCUUUAGAUCUAUCAGAGUAACCAAGUAAUAGACAUUUAGAAGACUUAGCAUCAAAUUUAUGCAAUCUAUCCUUAGUAUUAAGAACAUAACAAACACAACCAAAAGGAUGAAAAUAAGAAAUGUUGGGUUUUAUGUUCUUCCACAAUUCAUAGGGAGUCUUAUUCAGAAUUGGUCUCACAGAGAUUCUGUUAUGAAUGUAACAUGCUGUAUUUACUACCUCUGCCCAAAAGUGCUUAGUCAUGCCAGUUUCUUGGAGCAUGGUUCUAGCCAUCUCCUGAAGAGUUCUGUUCUUCCUCUCAACAACACCAUUUUGUUGAGGAGUUCUGGGACAAGAGAAAUCAUGUGCAAUUCCAUAGGAAUCAAACAGACUCUCAAACUUGUCAUUCUCAAACUCUCCACCAUGGUCACUUCUGACACGCACAAUCCUACAAGCCUUCUCGUUUUGCACUUGGGCAAUGAAGGUAGAGAACACAGCAUGAGACUCAUCCUUGUGAGUUAGAAACUUUACCCAUGUCCAGCGGCUAUAGUCGUCAACGAUGACCAUCCCAUAUCUCUUGCCACCUAUAGACUCAGUUUUCACUGGUCCAAACAGGUCAAUAUGCAGAAGUUCCAACGGCCUUGAGGUUGAGACAACAUUCUUUGCCUUGAAAGGGAAUUUAGUGAAUUUGCCUUUCUGACAUGCUUCACAAAGAGCGUCUGAAGCGAACUUCAGAUUGGGUAAGCCCCUGACAAGGUUUAGCUUGCUCAGCUGAGAAAUCUUUCUCAUACCGGCACGCCCUAACCGUCUAUGCCAUACCCACUGCUCUUCAUUAACAGAAAGAAGGCACUUCACAUUCUGAGCCUCCAACUCAAAUAAUCUGAUCUUAUAAAUGUUGUUCUUCCUCUUGCUGUUAAACAGAACAGAGCCAUCGAUCUGACUUACAGCCCUGCAAGGCUUUUGAUUGAAAAUAACAUCAUAACCCUUGUCAGCUAAUUGACUUAUAGACAAUAAGUUAUGAGUUAAGCCGUCUACCAAUAACACAUUAUCAAUGCAUGGACUACUAUCUACACAAAUAGUACCAGUACCAACAAUUUUACCCUUUUCAUUUCCUCCAAAGCCAACUUCGCCUCCAGGCUUAAGUUUUAGCUCUUGGAACAUACGCCUUUCUCCCGUCAUGUGACGCGAGCAUCCACUGUCCAGAUACCAUGACUGGUGUUUCAGUGGAGCUAUCAAGGAUAUCUGCAACAUAGAUAAUCUUGUCCUUACGUACCCACUUUUUGGGUCCUUUCUUGUUAGUUACCCCAGAGGUUCUGAUCACCUUGGGUUUCUCAACAUGAUAGUGUAAAGGAAUUUUUGCAUGAUAUUUAGACAUGGAGAAAGAUCCCUUUUUAAGAGGGGUUUUAGCAACUUUAGCAGGUAAAGGAUCAGGCAAUAUGGUACCAGAGGGAACAAAGCAUUCAUACAAAGAUUUAGCUUUAGACACAGAGGGCUCAUUUCUAAUUGGUUUAGAAUAGCCAAUGCCAUGCAUUCCAUUUCUACUUACGCCAUAGAUCAUUGAAGCCAUUAAGCUUCUAUCUACGCUCUUAGCCAGGAAUCUUUGAAAAGACUUUUCAUACUUAGAUUCAUUUCUACAAUCAGAUGCAUCACAAGCAAAUAUUUCUUCUAACUUAGCAAUCUGGUUCUUAAGCACAGAGUUAGAAUUGAUCAAAGCAUGAUUAUCAUUUUUCAAAUCAGAAAUAAUUUUCUCAUGUUCAGAAGGAGUCUUAGAAACAGCAGAUAAGUUCUUUUUCAACUUCUUAUGCUUAGACAAUAAAAAAUUAUACUUAUCUGUAAGGCCCAAGUUUUUAAGCUUGUGUCAAGUAAAUAGAAUCCUAUUCACGAUUAGGGUUGAUGUAUCGUGAAGGGAAACCUGAACUAGAGUUUACCAAAUGAAAUAAAUAUGUGAAGGAGAAAGUUCAGGAAAAGUCUGAGGAUUGUAUCGAAGUCGAUUUAAGUUAUAGCACGACUAAUAUUCGCUUUAAAAACCUAGGACAAGAAUCUUAGAAAAUAACACUAUGUUCCACCCUUGGAACACUGUAGGAUUUUAGUCCAAAAAUCUUCAGAGAAAUGUUAGAACUUCUCUUUUUCCAUAUAUCAAAAUCGUUUCGAGGCGAAACUCUAGGAUCUACGAACGUCCGAUUCCAAUCAUCGGAAGUUAUCCGAAACCGAAUCCCUGGUAUUUCAAAACCCUAGAAUCAACCGACAAUGAAGACUUUUUCUAUUCAGAGCUUCAAAUGAAGAUUCUACACGCGUACACCCAUUUCUCUUGAUGAUUUCAAUCUUUCUUCAGAAGGAAGUUUUCUAUUCCGACAUCCGAUGCAAAAAGCAACUUAUCGGGUAAAAUAGUUUUAUACCGACUAUGCAUUAGUUGCCAAAAAUACAAGGAGACCUCUUUAUAGUUUUGGAAUUCUUUUGCCAAAACAUAUCUAUUAAUUCACGGAGAAUGACGCCGGAAAAAUCAGAUUCGCGAAACUUUCAUUUUCCCGCGAAUUUCCAUCUUCUAUAUAUAGCAAGCAAGUGAGAAAAAAACACAAAACUCCUCCAUUUUCUCUCCUCAAGGCCGCGAGCUUCACCAAGGAAAAAGGAAGAAGAAUUUUCUUCAUUACUUGCUUGAUC
rnacentral:lncRNA from 1 species